CCCUUUCCAGGCAAAUCACAGGUAUAAUUUCUCCUCUUUACUUUUAAAAGUAUUUUCCUGUAUUACAACUCAAAAAUGAACUGUUUUCUCUUUGCUUUUUUAAAAUCUGUUUCUGGAUCGUUUGUUGUAUUAAAAAUACAUGUAUGUAUAUAAUAAAAAAGAAAGAAAAUAAUAGAGAAUAAAAAUAGUAAAACCUUUGAAUCUGUUGUUUUCGUAUUGAACCUCUGUAUUUUUUAUUGCUUCUUUGUGUGUAUUUUUCAGAACGUAACUUUUACAAGUGAAAGGAAAGGCUUUAUAGCCUUGGUCCCUUACAUAUUUUGGGAAAGAAAUCUAAGAUUUCUUUCCAUUCUAUGUCUUCUAUAUCUUUGACUGAUAUAUUGUGAUUUUCUUGCCAUUUCUGCUUUGCUUUUUUUCGCGUAUCUGCUGUUUGUUUCCUUUUCUUGCAGGUAUCAUCGAGGAAUCCGGCAGUGACCGUGCUGGUGUGGAUUCGCGCGCUGAUCACGGAGGCAGAGUCACGGCACUGAUGGAGGGUAGCUGAAACAAUGAGAGUUGAAGAGGCGCAACCCUUAGGCUGAUUGCGGCGCGAACCCUAGCUAGGGUUUCUCUGCUGCUGAAAAUAAGUUAGGCUAAUUGGGCCAAUUAAAUAUUGGGCUAGUUUAGUAUAUCUGGGGUAGGGUAUAGCUGGGUAUGGUUGUUUGGGUCAAGGGUGUAAAUGGGCUUAGCUAAAUUGUUUCGGUUUUGGGCCUACGGUUUGGGCUUUGUAACAUGGACUGUUUAAAUAAACAAACAUUUAUUUAUUUAUUUUUUGUGUUUCUAUUUUGGUUUUAAGACCCGGUCAAAUUUGGGCUAUUACAGCUGUCCCUCUUUGCUCAUUGCAGUGUAACAGGAAUCGAGCAAAGACUCAUAGAAAGACCAAAUUUGACCGGUCUUAUUAAAUCAUGGUCUUCAGGCUGCUUCUUGCAAACUCAUAACUGUCAUGUUGAUAUCUUCGAUUUGCUCUCCGCCAAACCAAAGACACCAAAUCAGCUUUUUUGAUCUGCUCUCUGACAAUGCAGAAAUGACAAAUCGUCUUGUUUCAAUCUAACCAUCUGAAGGUCAGAUCUGCCAUAUAUCUGCUCCCCAUUGAAUGUGGAGAUGCCAGACUUCGAUUUGUUCUCUGACAAUACAGAGAUACCAAAUCAUCUUAGAUUUGCUUCAUCGUAAAUACGUGAAGCCAAAUCAGCUAUGUCUUUGAUUUGCUCCUCGUAAGCACAGGGAUGCCAAAUCAUCUUGGAUUUAUUUGAGAACAUUUGAGAGUCAAAUCUACUAUGUCCUCGAUUUGUUCCUUGUAAAUACAAGAAUACCAAAUCAUUUUGGAUCUUGCUUCAGUCUAAUCGCCUGAAGAUCAGAUCUGCCACGUAUCUGCUCCCCAUUGAAUGUGGAGGGGCUAGUCUUCGAUUUGUUCUCUAACAAUACAGAGAUGCCAAAUCAUCUUAGAUUUGCUUCAUCGUAAACACGUGAAAGCCAAAUCGGCUAUAUCUUCGAUCUGCUCCCCACCGAAUACAGAGAGAUAAGAUCUGUCAUCUUGGAUCUGCUUCAGCGUAAACAUCUGAAGGUGAGAUCUGCUAUGUGUCUGCCUUCCAUCAAAGUGGAAAUGCCAGACUUCGAUUUGUUUUCUGACAAUACAGACACGACAAAUCAUCUUAGAUUUACUUCAUCGUAAACACAUGAAAGCCAAAUCAGCUAUAUCUUCGAUCUGCUCCCCGCCGAAUACAGAGAGAUAAGAUCUGUCAUCUUGGAUCUGCCCCAAUGAAGGUUAGAUCUGCUAUGCUGCAGCCUAUUACCCUACUAUUUUGGGUUUUAAACCUGUAAAAUGAUUAUGCUUGAUAAUUUAGGAUGCUAUGCUUGAAAUAAGUCGAAUGUUCCUAAUUAAAUAUGUUAUGAUGCAAAAUGUCAUGAAUAUGAUCCCUAUCCUAGACGUCAUCACUCAUUCCUUCAUUUGUCUUUUCUUUUCUCAAUGUUUCAUUCAUGCUCAGCCUGUAAGCCGUCCUCCAAUGCUAUGAUCCACUAAGGAUGUCUGUAAGGACUGAACUGUUGGCUUUGUCUAUUUUCCUUUUGGACUAGAAAGGAAUUCCUCGAGUUCUUUCAUCCCUUACUUACGUGAAUUUCUCGAACAAUUGUCCUGUUUUAGUUUCUUGUAUUAUCUAAAAAUUCCAGAGUAAUGCGCAAAACCUCGUUUGUGAACAUAUUUAAUUCAUCUAUUAUUUUUUCAAUGCAACAUACUUAAAGAAUAAUAGAAAAUGAAUAAACUUUUAAGAAUAAUUGGAUUUGAAUGAAUUAUCAAAAAGAUACAAAAGGGAAUCAAUCUGCUAGCCUAUCUUUUAGAAGAAAUAGAAUCUAAAGAUAGCCAACAAGAUAGAAGUUAGAUCGCCGCUUGAGUGCCUAUACACCAGCUCCAUGAAGUCUUUCUUGAGUUCAACAUAUGUUUAAAAGAUCCCAAGUACUCUGUUGAUGCCCCAGUUUACAGCAUUCUCUGCUCUUUGUAGCAAGAUCAUUGUGUACUCUUCAAAAUUUGAUAUGCCCUUUCAAGUUUUCAACUCAAAACCCCUUUGGUCACAAGGUGCCCUUUGCGGGUUUUCACCUUGGCCUCUCCGUUUUUUUUUUCGAAUCUCAAGGCGCCCUUUGCGAGUUUUCACCUUAGAUUCUCUUCUUCUUUAGACAAAGUAUUUUUUAACUGAGUCUGAGUUCACUGGAUUGGGUAAACUUUUCCCAUCCAUUUCUGCUAAGAUCAAUGCACCACCAGAGAAAGCUUUCUUCACGACAUACGGCCCUUCCCAAUUCGGCAUCCAUUUUCCUCUAAAAUCUUUUUGAAUAGGAAGGAUCUUUUUCAGUACAAGGUCUCCCUCAUGGAAUUCUCUUGGUCGAACUUUCUUGUCAUAAGCUCGCAUCAUUCGCUUCUGAUACAUCUGACCAUGUCGAAUGGCUUUUAGCCUCUUUUCCUCAAUCAAGUUCAACUGGUCAUACCGGGACUGAACCCACUCAGCUUCAUCUAACUUUACCUCCAUUAAAAUUUGAAGAGAAGGUAUUUCUACUUCAAUAGGUAAUACUGCUUCCAUCCCAUAAACUAGCGAGAAUGGAGUUGCCCCAGUAGAGGUUCUGACAGAUGUUCGAUAGGCUAGGAGUGCAAAUGGCAACUUCUCAUGCCAAUCUCUAUAGGUCUCAGUCAUCUUCCCCACUAUUUUCUUAAUAUUUUUGUUGGCAGCUUCCACUGCCCCAUUCAUUUUUGGACGAUAGGGAGAAGAAUUGUGAUGCUUGAUCUUGAACUGGUCACAAACCUCCGCUAUCAUUUUGUUAUUUAAGUUCAAUGCAUUGUCAGAUAUGAUCUUUUCAGGCAUUCUAUAUCGACAAAUGAUCUCCUUCUUCAAGAAUCGAAUCACUGCUAACUUAGUAACAUUCACAUAAGAGGCGGCCUCUACCCACUUUGUAAAGUAGUCAAUUACCACGAAGAUAAACCGAUGUCCAUUCGAAGCUUUCGGUGAUAUUGGUCCAAUAACAUCCAUGCCCCACAUGGAAAAAGGUUAUGGAAAAGUCAUAACAUGCAAAGGUGAAGGUGGAACAUGAAUUUUGUCCCCAUAAAUCUGACAUUUAUGGCACUUCUUGGUGUAGUUAAUACAGUCUCCUUCCAUAGUAGCCCAAUAAUAGCCAAACCUCAUGAUUUGCCUCGCCAUCGUGAACCCAUUUGCAUGUGUUCCGCACACACCUUCAUGAACUUCUUCUAAAAUUAGCUUAGCUUCCACAGCAUCUGCACAUCUCAAAAGUACUUGGUCUUUCUGUCUCUUGUACAGGAUAUCUCCAUCUAAAACAUAGUCGCAAGCUAACCUCCUCAAAGUUCGUUUAUCAUUUUCACUGGCCUGUUCAGGGUAUUUACGAUCUCUCACAUAUCGCAAUAUAUCUUGAUACUAGGGGUUAUUGUCAUUUCCUUCAUUCUCAAUGUUACAACAAUGAGCUAGAGCCUCGUAAACACUCAUUUGAAUCGGCUUCAUUUCUUCUUCUUUAUUCGCCUUGAUCAUUGAGGCCAAGAUUGCUAAAGCAUCUGCCAUCUGAUUUUCCUCUCGUGGGAGAUAAUUGAAGGUGAUGCUACCAAAUUCCUCAAGUAACCCCAAAAUUACCUUUCAAUAACUAAUCAAUUUAGGGUCCCUUGUCUCCCAUUCACCUCUAAGCUGAUAAACAACCAACACUGAAUCUCCAUAUACUUCUAGAGUUUUUAUACCUCGCUCUAUAGCUGCUUGCAGUCCCAUGAUGCAUGCUUCAUACUCAGCCAUAUUAUUCGUGCAAUCAAAAUCCAACUUGUACGUAAAAAGGGUAAUGAUCACCAUUUCCGACUGCAUUAAAAGCCCCAUCAAAAUUGAGCUUCCAAGAAGAAUUUUCAGUUAUUGCUAUACACAUCAACUCCUCUUUUGGAAAAUCGAAGUUCAAUGGCUCAUAAUCCCCUAGAGCCCUACUGGCCAAGAAGUCUGCUACCGCACUUCCUUUUAUAGCCUUAUGACUUAUGUAGACUAUAUCAAACUCUGAAAGCAAAAUUUGCCAUCUCGCCAUUCUCCCAUUUAGAGCCGUUGACUCCAUCAUGUAUUUCAACGGAUCAAGUUUUGAGAUGAGCCAAGUGGUAUGGUAUAGCAUAUAUUGUCUUAAUCUCCGAGUUGUCCAAAUCAGCGCACAACACAACUUUUCAAUUGGUGAACAUCUCAUCUCACAGUCAGUGAAUUUCUUACUGAGAUAAUAAAUUGCCUUCUCCUUUUUCCCUGAUUCGUCAUGCUGGCCAAGCACACAUCCCAUAGAAUUAUUGAACACUAACAAGUACAGUAUUAAUGAUUUAUCUGGCCUUGGUGGAGACAAUACCGGAGCAUUCAACAAAUACUACUUGACCUUUUCAAAAGCAUUCUGACAUUCCUCAUCCCAAGUACCUUGGUUGUGCUUUCUUAGGAGGCGAAAGAUAGGAUCACAUUUCUCGGUUAGUUGUGAAAUGAACCCAGUAAUGUAAUUCAACCUUUUUAGGAAUCCUCGAACUUCCUUCUGAGUACGUGGUGGAGGUAACUCUCGUAUGGCUCUGACCUUGUCUGAGUCGACUUCAAUUCCUUUUUCACUGACUACGAAGCCUAAUAACUUUCCUGAUCUGGCUCCAAAGGUACACUUUGCUAGAUUGAGCUUCAACUGAAAUUUUCUCAACCUCAAGAACAAUCUUCUCAAAACCUCAAUAUGUUCUUUUUCUGUACUCGACUUGGCAAUCAUAUCAUCAACAUAUACCUCAAUAUCCUUAUGCAUCAUAUCGUGGAACAAGUUCACCAUGGCCCUUUGGUAUGUUGCCCCUGCGUUCUUUAAUCCAAACGACAUUACUUUGUAGCAAAAAGUACCCCAUAAGGUUAUGAAGGUGGUUUUAUCCAUGUCCUCUAGAUGCAUCUUUAUCUAAUAGUAUCCUGAGAAACCAUCCAUGAAGGAGAACAACGAAUAUCCUACUGUGUUGUCCACCAAAGUGUCAAUGUGUGGUAAAGGAAAAUUAUCCUUUGGGCUUGCUUUGUUCAGAUCUCUGUAAUCAACACACAUUCGUACUAUCUCAUCCUUCUUAGGAACAGGCACAAUGUUAGCUACCCAUUCAGAGUACUUCACUUCUUGUAAGAAUCCUGCAUCAAACUGCUUCUUGACUUCAUCCUUUAUUUUCAAAACGAUUUAUGGCCUCAUUCUUUGUAACUUCUAUUGGACUGGCUUACAAUCCUAUCUUAUCGGAAGUUGAUGUACCACAAUUUCGGUACUCAAUCUAGGUAUAUCCUGAUAUGACCAGGCGAAAAUAUCUUUGAACUCUCUAAAAAACUCAACCAGACCAUGUCUUGUGUCCUCGUUAAUUAGGGUUCCGAUUUUCAACUCUUUCCCUUCCUCUAGGGUUAUAUUCUCUAUUGCCUCUUUCUCAUGUGGCAUGAUUUGUUUCUCCUCUUGCUUUACCAUUCUUAACAGAUCGAGAGAAAUGUCACAAUCUUGAACAUCUUCAAAAUCUUGAGGUUCCUCUGAACACAUGUUUUGCUCACCAGAGAAAUUAAGAGCUGUAGUAUCAGCACUCAUAUCAUUGAUAUCUAGGGACCUGUGGGUGUAUGAAAGAAUAUACAAAGAAUAAAUGAAUCUAAGAAUGAUUGUUUAUGUGCUAUGAAUGAAAGAAUAAGAAUUUCCAGAAUUUAAAGGAAUAUUGGUCGAUAAAAAUGAAACAAUACUCGUUUAAAUUGAUAAAAGUUAUGUUUUAUUUAAAUAAUUAUAGAUGAACAUAGACCUUUUUCACAAACAUAAUCUUACUACUCCUAGGCCCUAGAGUAACAAACAUGUUUCGGGAAUUACUCUGAAAAGUUUCUAAAGACUACAGGAAGGUCCUCUGCGGUCCAAUUAUUCAGAAAACUCCUCGAUUCGUAAGGGCAAAUGCCCUCAAGGUUUCCUUGCUCCGAUCCCUCAUUAUGUACAGCAUUAACUUGAUGACUUUCCUCUAUCAUCAAUCCUCCUGACCUAAAGGAUUUGGAUAUAGGUGGGAAUGUCAUCUGUUCCCACUCCACUUCUCUUCCAUUCAAACGCGCCUUUCUUCUCGCUUGGCGCUUCUCUAUUUCUUGCCCCUUGUGCUUGUGGUCUGGCUUGAAGCCCAAGCCAAAGCGGUCCUUCUUCUCAAUCAAUUUUGGGAUUUGAACCCCUCCUUGCAACUAUCUUCCUAGCCCCUUUCCCGGCAAUGCUCCUUUCCCUAUCAUCAUUUGCAGGGCCAUCCUAGUGGCUCUAGACAUUUUGGGUACCGGCACCUCGCUUCCUUCCAAAAUGAAGGUGGCAUUAAUGAUUUCUAAAUAGCGAAAAGAACACUCAAUAGCCUCUUCAUUGGCCUCAACAUAAGGGGCCUUGCUGCUGACUGCUGCUAUGAUAUCCUAUUCCGCGUUGAUGGUUAUUAAGCCUCCAUCUGUCACUAACUUCAAUUUUUGGUGCAAUGAAGAAGGCACCGCUCCUGCCGAGUGUAUCCAUAGUCUCCCCAAUAAACAAUUGUAGGAGGGCUUGAUAUCCAUCACUAGAAAAUCAACUUCAUACGUAUUUGGCCCAAUCUCCAGAGGGAUGUCAAUUCGUCCCAUUACUUUUCUUUCAGUUCCAUCGAAGGCUCUUACCACGUUAUGACAUGUUUUCAUAUGUGAACUGUCAAUGGGUAAUCUGUUCAAGGUGGAUAGCGGCAGGACGUUCAAAGCAGACCCAUUAUCCACGAGUACAUUUGGAAGUGUGUAUCCUUUGCACCGAGUAGUGAUGUGUAGGGCUUUGGUUGACCCUAUGCCCCCAAGUGGAAUUUCAUCAUCAUUAAAAUAGAUGAAAUUGUCAACACUGAUGUUGUUUACUAACCGGUCCUGCUUGUUAACGGAUAUGUCAUGGGUGACAUAUGUUUCAUUAAGCACUUUUAACAACGCAUCUCGAUGCGCCUCAGAACUCAAGAGUAGGGCUAAUACUAAUAUACGUGCCGGCUACUUGUGCAACUACUUGACUACGCUAUACUCGCUAUGUUUCAGGAAUUUUAAAAACUCCUUAGCUUCUUCCUCCUUUACCAGCUCAUUGAUGGGUAUUUCAGUCUCCUUUUCCUUUUCAGCCUCGGCAUUUUCUGUCUUUGUGGGCUCCACUCUGAUAUUCCCCCGUCAUAACAUUUCCCACUUCGUGUAUGGGAACCUUCAUUUUGCCUGCCCCUGGCCGCGCUAGCUAUACUCUCCACCUCAGGUAUUGUUAUAUUGCAGUCAUAGCUCCAUGGCACCCUCUUGUCAUCCUUGUAAGGGAAAUGAUUGGGUUUAUGGAUGACUAUUUUGGGCCCAGUUUGUGACCCCGCCUCAUUAUUCCCUGGCAAGGAAAUAAUAAUUCUUGGUUGGCUGGUUCUUUGUCGUUCAUUCUCCAGCACACAUAUUUGUCCUUCACAAGAACUACCCUCAGAAACCUGUAGUUCUUUGUUAACCAUAAGGCCUUGUACCAUGGCCUUGAAUUCUUCACAAUUUUGGAUCAUAUGACCCGCCUCUCCAUGGAAUUCACAAUGGUUCUCUAUUCCUUCUCUUCCUUUUCUAGAGGUCAGCAUACCUCUCUUCACCAUCUCCUCCCAUAUUACUUUCAUAGGUGUCUUCACCUCAGCAAUAUCUUCCUUGACUUUUCCUUUCUUUGUUUCAUCAAUGGCAUUCACUCCUUGAUUGCCAUGAUCCGGUAACAGAUUUUCAGUAUUAGGGGUACUAUCAAAUUUCACAACCCCCAUUUUGAUGAGCCUUUCCACGACCUUCUUGAACCCAGUGUAAUUUUCAAUUGAAUGCCCCGAUAUUCCCGCAUGAUAUUCGCAUUUAGCAUUUGCAUCAUACCAUUUGGGGUACGGUGGUUGCAGCGGUUUUAAGUGAAAUGGAGCAAUGGCAUGUGCAUCGUAUAAGCUUUGAUAAAGCUCACGAUAUGUCACAGGGAUAGGAGUGAAUUGCAUCCUCUCCGAAUUCUGUCUUGUACCCGAUCCCUGUCUUUGAGUACUUUGUUGCUCACCCGUAGCUGAUUUAGGUUAUCCAACUAUGAUUGCCCUAGAGUUGAAAAUGUUCAUGUUGUUCACCUCAUUGUCUUUUCUCCUUGGGGCCGAUCUUUUAGCCACUUUCCCCUCGAUUUUACCACCCCUCACGGCAUUCUCAAUCAUCUCACCUGUCAUAACUAUAUCCGCGAAACUUUUCGUGGUGCUUCCAAUUAUAUGUGUAAUGAAUGGCGCCUUCAAAGUAUUAAUAAAUAACAUGGUGGUUUCCUUUUCCAACAAUGGUGGUUGUACUUGCAUUGCCACCUCCCUCCAUCGUUGUGCAUAUUGACUAAAACUUUCAUUAGGCUUUUUCUCCAUGUUUUGAAGUGUGAUCCUAUCUGGCGUCAUAUCAGUCACAUGGUUACACUGUUACAUGAAAGCUUGUGUGAGAUCUCUCCAUGAACUGAUUCUUGCACGGCUCAACUGAUUGUACCACCUAGCCGCUGCUCCCACUAGGCUGUCCUGAAAACAAUGGAUCAAUAGUUGAUCGUUAUUCACGUAACCAGUCAUUCUUCUACAAAACAUUGUUAUGUGUGCCUCUGGGCAAGUAGUCCCGUUGUACUUUUCAAACUCUAGCAUUUUAAAUUUAUGAGGAAGCACCAAAUCUGGAACCAAACUUAAGUCUUUGGCAUCAAUCCCAUGAUGAUUGCCAGUGCCUUCUAAAACCCUAAACUUCUCCACUAACCACCUGCAACAAUCUUCCAAUUGUUUCAAGGAUUCAGUGGCCAUUCUUUCCUUCUCCAUUAAAUCUAAAUUAGGAGUAAUAGGGUUGAUCGAGCUAUCACCCAAAUUAUUUCCCAACCCAGAUGGGAAAUUUACGGGGAUUCCAGCAUCCACUGGCCCAUGUUGAGGCCUCACGGUGACAGUUGGCCUUCUAGGAGGUGCCUCAGUUUGCAGGGGCACAUGAGGCAGAGUAAAACCCGGAGGAGGAUCUUCAUUCUCCUCUUUAGUGAUCGCCAUGGGAGCUUUUCCUUUAUCAGUGGUUCUUAGCAGCUGAGCCAUUUCAGCCAUCAUGUUUCUCUGAGCCUCUAGCAUCUGCUCCCUCAUUUCAUUCUGCAUUUUGGCCAACUGUUCUUGCAUUUGAUCUUGCAUGUCUUUUUGUAAUUGCUCGAACCUUUGAACCAUGCUCUUAGUUUUAGUACGAGUGCCGUAAGGAUGUGUGAUUUCCAGAUUUUCUUUUCUACCUUUUAAAGUAAACUUUAACUAAUCAGGGUCUUUCUAUAACUUUGAAUGCAAAUGAUAUGAUGAAAUGCUAUGAGAUGCAAAUGCAUGAAUGCAAAAAGGAUAUCGAUUCUGGUUCAACUUCAUUUAGAAAAUUUUAUUUAGAAAAAGAAUGUCUUUACAUAUAAGAGGAUUACAAAUACGCUUUCGCCCUAAGGCCCAAAGCUUUAACUCUAUCUAAUAAAAGGGCUAACUCUCAUCCUACAUCCGACGAUGAUGAAUACAUCGGACUCAAUACAUCAGCUCGAAUUGCUAAGUCUUGCACAUGUUCGGCGACCUCUCGAAUCUGGGCUAUGGCCUCACCAAUGACAUGAUCCAUUUCUCUGACCUGUCCCUUAGCCUGAUGAAGCUCUCCCUUCAAAUAGCCCUCCUGCGCCUCGAGCUGCUCAACCCGGAGUUCACCGUCAUGCAAUGCCAUUUCAAAUCCUCAACCUUGCUUUUUAGCUCCUUUAACUCGAUCGUAGAGUUAUGGUUUUUGUGCCAAUGUAGGGAUCUUCCAAGCUCAGUUACCCUAGUCUUCAACCCUUUAUUUUCUUCCUCUAAUGCCAAAUUCUGUACCUACAUCUCUUGGAACUUCCUCUCCCAAUACUCGGCCCUAGCCUUUUCCUUUUGGACCUCCUUCUGCAACUGAUCUGAAGAUCUUUCUACUCUCGCCCUUCUUAAGGAUAAUUGUACCCUUUUGUAAUGUUCCUUUAGAUCAUCUCGAUCUUCCUCAAUCUUCCUCUUUUCUUUUCUCUCUUUCUCGAGCUCUAUCUUUUGAACAUCGACUUCCAAACUCAAGUACAUAUUUUCCUCUUCGAGCUUUGCUAUCCUCUUCUCAAACUCCAAGUUCUUUCUCUCGAACUCCUGUUUCAUAAUUUCUGACUCUGAGGGCCUUACUUGCAAAUAUUCUUCCAUCGGUCGAGCUUCUUCCACACUUGGCUUAGGGAUAUUAUCGUUAACCCUUCUGCCUCUCCAUUCAAUGUAUUCUGGUAUGGUUACAGGACUAAUAGCUACUCAUUUCAACCGACAAGUCUUUUUCCAAGCACUAGAAAUUUCACUAACCUUCCUUUUGUAAUCGGCUCCUCUAUAUACGAACUCACUUUGAGCCAACCCUUGAGUCGCUGGUACAAACUGUCUCAAUCCAUGCUGCCUCAGCACAGCAACGGAGCAUAACCAAUGGCACCCCAAAUUCCCAGUAGGGGUACCCAAUCAAAAAUGCCGCUUCGAUAAAGAACCUCACCAGGCAUCAUCCACGGAGCCCUCCACUCGACAUCUUUCGACUGAAGGUUCUGAAGUAGCGCUAUCCAAUUCUCUUCUAGAACAUCAACUCUCCUAGUUGAAGCUGCUAUAUCUUUCAACGGUGAAUAGUCCUCGAAGAAAACCCGACAAACCAUCCUGUCUAUUAACCGGAAAUGACUGUAGAACUAAGCCAAAAGCAACUGAGCACACCCUAUAAACCUGCCAGCACCAGCCCUCCUACAUGCACCUAAAGAUCUGAAUGUUUUCGCCAAAAUUGCAGGGACAGAAGCGACCUUUUUACUGAGUCGAUGAAAAAGAUCCGUGGUUGCCUCAUCCACAUAUCCCAAAGCCCUAGGGAAAACCAUCAAUCCAUACAAACUCAAGGCAAAAACAUCUACCUUCUUCAUCUCAUCAGGGUGUGUCAGAAUCAAAUCUUUCAAAGCGUCCCACGAAAUGCACUUGUACUCACCCUUUUCCUUAAUUCGGGCCGUGGCCCACUGCUCGCUCAUCCCUGUAAUAAUCAUCAAUUUCUUCCAAAAGGUAGGGACACAAGCAGCUCGAGAAUAGAUCCUAUCAUUCUGAAAUCUGGGACAACGGAGCAAGGCCAUGUACUCCUCCACAGUAGGUACCAUGUCUACUUCCCCAAAAGUGAAGCAAUUGUACGUCGGGUUCCAAAACUGAGCAAGGGCUCAGAAUAAGUGCUCGUCUAUCUGAACAUCAAGCAAGUAAGGUAAGUCUCCAUAAUUAUCGUAGAAUAACUACUUCGUCUCUUUGCCCCACUGAUCUCAAAUUUCCUUAAGCUCUUGGAGAUUAUUCUGUGUGACACUAAUACGAGUAUAAUCUGAUAGCUCCGACACAUAUCCCAUAGUUAUACUGUCCCCCUUUUCUAGUUGAGUUUGCUCAGACCAUCUAUGGACGUUAGCGUUGCCCUCCACUCUAUCAAGAAGUCCGUUCUCCAUAAUAAAACUUCCUAACUUAGAAACUGACCGUGAAUCGAUACCUUUGUAAAUGCAAAAUGACAUGCGAACAAAAGAAAAGAAAUAGUUAGUAUCACAUGAUAUCAAUAAAUCUCAACGAUAAUUUAUAAGGGUAAUAUCUAAAGUUUAACUCUAACCAAGUUGGGCUCUUACGGUUUUUCUAUAUGAGGUUGGUUCUAAAGUUUGAGGUACCUGAACCAGCAGAUUCCUCGAUUCUCACCCAUUAUAAGCUCAUUUGAAUCGAGUUCAGUUUAGGGGAAUACAUUUCCCUAUGGCUACACGGAGAUGAAAAUCUCACGAAACCAUAGGUACGGAUGUAUCCCAAAAGUGAUCCACUAUCCUGCACGGAGGCGAAAACCUCAUGAAAGUGUAGUUUCUCAUUCCCACUUAAGGGUGUGACCACAACGGUCAUGCAAAUGCAAUGCGCAUCAGAAUAUAGCAACACAUGCAAUAAUACAAACACAUGUAAUGCAAAGAGGAUUAGAUUUUAAAAUUUUUAAUUUCCGACAUUAAGACAAGAUAUAAUCAAUUACACGACUUGACUCUCUUAUGAAGUCCCCAGUGGAGUCGCCAAGCUGUCGAGACCAUUUUUAAAUCGAGUUUUGUAAAAUGGGAAUCGAUUUAAAAAAAACGAAAAUGGGAGUCGCCACCAAUCUUUUUAGGUGUGAUUGGAUCACCUUUAAAACAUUUUGUUUUAAAAUUAUUAGUUCUGGUCCACAAAAUAAAAGAACGGGUUCGGGAGUCGGUUACAUACGAGGAAGGAUUAGCACCCUCAUAACGCCCAAAAAAUUGGUACCUAAUUGAUUAUCAAAUGUCUUUAAUGUCGGAAAUUUAAAGAAAUUUAAGAUGUAAUCCUCUUUAAAAUACUUUGAUUCUGAAAAUUUGGGUUCACUCGUAUCAAAACAUUGACACUAAGUUAACCUUUUGGAAAUCCCUAUCUCGAAACGUCAAAUCGUCACAUCCAAUAAGUUAGGACACAGCGCUUUGAAAUUCCAAGACAGUUGCUCGUAUUUUGAAAAUCUUAAAAACUUAGAAGGGUACUUGACUAUUCGAACUCAACGAGAAAAGUCGCAACCCAAUAAAUUAGGGCACUACUUUUCUCGAAGCUUCCAAACACCGAGCAUUGCCUUUUUAUUUUUAUUUUUGAAAAGUUUGAAGUCUCAUUUUUUAAAUCAAUGCAUGAAGGUACAUAUUAAUAUAACAUAUGAGAUAACAUGUUACAAUGAUAGGAAAGUAAGAGCAUAACGGCAUAAAUAUCAUACACUAAUCAACAUAUAUAAGAAAUAAAACAUGACAAUUUUUUAAAUAAGAAAAAUAUACAUAAAACGGAAUACAUAUUAAAGAAGAAAUAGGUAAAAUCCCUAAACAUAUAAUUCAACAUAUAUUUAAUCACAUAAAUGAUGCAUGAUAUACAAUAUAUCAAUGUACAUAAAAAAAUAAUAUGCAUUUGAAAAUAAAAUAUAAAAGUCUAAGAUAUUACAUAACAUAUAACAUAACAAAAAUACAUUAAUACUAAAGUAAAAAUAAAUAUUGUAUAAUAAAAAAAAACAAAAGUUUAAAAAAAUAUAUGUAUAAUACAAACAAAUAAUAAAAUGUGAUAUUUAAUAAUAUAAUAAAAAUAAUUAUAAGAAUAAUAAUUACAUAAAAAAUAUAAAAGAUAUUGGUUUAGUAAAAUAAUGUAAAGAAUAUGAAAUAUGUAAAAGUAUUUAUAUUUAUAAUGAAAUAAUUAUAAUAUAUAAAUAUAAGUUUAAAAUGAAUAAUUAAUAAUGAAAUCUACGUAUUAUACAAAUUAUAAUAUUAUAAUAUCUUCAAAAUGUGUAAUAAUAGAAUAUAAAUAAAAUAAUUAUUAACAUAUAAAUAAAAAAUAAAUAUAUAAUACAAGUUUAAAACCUUUAAUGAUAAUAAUAUAUAGAUAAAAAUGGAUAAUAAUAUAAAAAUGACAUAAUAAUAUAUAAUAUAAUUAUAAUGUAUAAUAUAAAGGUAUAUAUAUAUAAAUAAUAUAUAAUAUAAUUAAUAAAUAUAUAAUAUAAUAAUAUAUAAAUAAUAAUGUAAAAUAAUAAUAAUUUAUGAAAAAUAAUACAUAAUAAAUAAUAAUAUAAAUAAUAUAUAAUAAAAUAAUUCUAUAACAUAAAAAAUAAGGUUAAAAAAAUAAAACAAAUAACAAUGUAAAAUAUAUAUAUAAUAAUAAUGAUAAAUAUAUAGGGUUAGAUUUGAAAUUCAAUAAAAUUACAGGGCAAAUUUAAAAAAAUAACAUUGGAUUAAGGUCCUAAUUGAAACGCGCGAAAAACGAAAGGGACUCAUUGGGAAAAAUACCCUAUUCCCAAAACGUCUGCGCUUUAAUUCUGUGUUUAAAAAAAGGUCAGGGAUCAUAUUGAAAUCAAAAUAAAAAUAAUGGGAAAAAAUUAAAAAUUGCAAUAAACUUAAUUUGACAGAUAAAAAGACGAAAGGACUAAAGGGAAAAUUAUCCCAUUUUCUUAAAACACGCGGACCCUCCGGGUCGGAUCUUGGGCCCUAUAUAAGUUAAAUUUUGAUUUUAAAAUUCAUUUCUAACACCCAUUUUUUUUUUUAAAAAAAAAACAAAAAUCUCUGAAACCCCCUCUCCGUCCUUUGGCCUGAGUUCCAACAACGGCCGAUGACCACCGUUCACGCGCCUCACGCGCCAUCGUACACGGUGGUCGGAGGUUCUAAAUAUCUCCCCUUUCCAGGCAAAUCACAGGUAUAAUUUCUCCUCUUUAUUUUUAAAAGUAUUUUCCUGUAUUACAACUCAAAAAUGAACUGUUUUCUCUUUGCUUUUUUAAAAUCUGUUUCUGGAUCGUUUGUUGUAUUAAAAAUACAUGUAUGUAUAUAAUAAAAAAGAAAGAAAAUAAUAGAGAAUAAAAAUAGUAAAACCUUUGAAUCUGCUGUUUUCGUAUUGAACCUAUGUAUUUUUUAUUGCUUCUUUGUGUGUAUUUUUCAGAACAUAACUUUUACAAGUGAAAUGAAAGGCUUUAUAGCCUUGGUCCCUUACAUAUUCUGGGAAAGAAAUCUAAGAUUUCUUUCCAUUCUAUGUCUUCUGUAUAUUUGAUUGAUAUAUUGUGAUUUUCUUGCCAUUUCUGCUUUGCUUUUUUUCGCGUAUCUUCUGUUUGUUUCCUUUUCUUGCAGGUAUCAUCGAGGAAUCCGACAGUGACCGUGCUGGUGUGGAUUCGCGCGCUGAUCAUGGAGGCAGAGUCAUGGCGCUGAUGGAGGGCAGCUGAAACAACGGGAGUUGAAGAGGCGCAACCCUUAGGCUGAUUGCGGCGCGAACCCUAGCUAGGGUUUCUCUGCUGCUGAAAAUAAGUUAGGCUAAUUGGGCCAAUUAAAUAUUGGGCUAGUUUAGUAUAUCUGGGGUAGGGUAUAACUGGGUAUGGUUUUUGGGUCAAGGGUGUAAACGGGCUUAGCUGAAUUGUUUCGAUUUUGGGCCUACGGUUUGGGCUUUGUAGCAUGAACUGUUUAAAUAAACAAACAUUUAUUUAUUUAUUUUUUGUGUUUCUGUUUUGGUUUUAAGGCUCGGUCAAAUUUGGGCUAUUACAUUAGUUUAAGGCAACAUGAAUAUGACUUAAUAUUUGUACUAACCAAAUAAUUUAAAACACUUGUUAGUCAUGAUUUUGGGGAAACAUGAAAAAAAGUAAUAAUGUUUUUUUCAUAGGUCUUAAAAUUACUCAUAAUAUUUCUUAAUUUUUAAAUCUUGAACUUAUAUUCUUUUAUAUUGAUAAAUAAAGAUACUAACAAAACUGAAACUCAAUUGACACAAUACAUUUUUCUUUUAAUUUAUAAUCCAUACAAUUAAGUUAUAAAUAAAAAUAUAAAAUAUAUUUUAAGGAGCCAAUAUAGAAAAUAUGAGGAGAUUUUUAAAAAGUUUGGGGACCGAGGUCCCUUCUGGCUCCUACUAUGAUUGGCUUCAACUAGAAUAAUAAAAGCAAGUAAAGGUCGGUGUAGUCGGAGCUGGUAUUAGAGGACAUCCUUCUAUAUGUGAGCUUAUAUCACGUAUUUUUUUCUUAAAUCCGAAUCAUUGGUUUGGUCAUAUGAUAUUGAGUUUAACAGUGGAUGUUAUGGCAUAAAAUAGUUAAACAUGCAUCAGAUGAUAUUUGAUGCUAGGAAACAAAGCUAACAUUGUGUUUUGGAGAAGAGGGCAAAUUAAUGGAGGGACUGAGAUGAGGAAAAUUUAGGGCUAAAAAUGAUUGAUCGGCUCAUUUUUUUGUGUCGUGGGGGAACGAAUGGACUGAUGAAUGAAUUAACAUUUCGCUUCGAAAAUGACAAAAGAUAAAAAAGGAAAGUCAUGCAUUGAACCAGAGAAAUUUGACAUAUCGUUCCUGUAUAUAGAGCUAUCAAGUAUACAUGAAGUACGUGCAGAUUCAUUUGCUGUAACCAAGUAGUGUAAGUUGCAAGUUACAAUGCGAAUAGUUAAAAAUAUGGCUAAGCUACAAAAAUAAUAAUCCCACUAUGUCUUUGCUUUUAUUUUCAUCACUAGAUUAUUAAAAUUUUUUAUUUAGUCAUUAAAUUUUUUGAAAUUAAAUAUUUCAAUCAUCUUUCCAUUAGUUGCCAUUAGACAGUGAUAAAAAAUGAUUUAGGCUUUUUUAUUUGUCUAAUAACAAAUUUAGUCCUCUAAUGUUUACACAUUUUAUCAAUUCGAUCCUAAAUAUAAAAAAAUAAAUAAACUUAGCUCUCAAAAUUUACAAAUUUUUUUUAAUUUAAUUCUAAUUCUUUAAAAAAAUUUAUGUACAAACCAUGAAAAGCUUUAGCAAGAAACUUUUCAUUUUCCAAGUUUCAAAUAUCAUAAUGCAACCUCUGCCUUUGUAUUUAGAAUUAAAUUGGCAAAUCUUGUAAAUGUUGAGCUCUAAUUUAUUGAAUUUUUUAGAAUUUGAACUAAAAUGAAAAAUUUUCUAAACAUUAAGAGCUAAAUUUGUUCAAUUUUUUUUUAUAUUUUGAAUCAAAUUGAUGGAAUAUGUAAAUAUUAGAGGGUUAUAUUUAUUAUUAGACCAAUAAAAAAGUCUACAUCAACUUUCCAUCACCCAUCUAACGGCAACUAAUGAGAGAGUGAUUAAAAUAUUUAAAUUUAAAAAUUUUAACGAUUAAAUCAAAAAUAAUAAUAAUUAAGUGACCAAAACAGAACCAAUGGUAUAAUUCAGUGACUAUUUUUUACAAUUUAACCUAAAAAUAUUAAUAUUGUUAAAAAAUUCGUUAAACAGUUUAUGUACAUUUAAAAAAAAACUAAAAUAAUUUUUUUUAUCACAGGCGAAAUUAAGGACCUCAAAAUAGUUAUCUUUCACUAAUUUGACAUGUUGGGAUGUUUAUGUAUUUGUUUUUUAAUUUGUUUAUUUUGUGUCGGUGUUAUGUAAUAAUAUUGUAUCCAACAUUGCCAAGUUUAGAAAGUUCUUAAAUUUGGAUUCACUUGAUUUUAAUAAUUUUUUAACUUAAUUAUAAAAUAUAUAGAUAUCAAUAUAAAAUAAUAUUUUAUUAUUUAAUUUGAUAAUAUGCUUUUGAGUCGAUCAACCCUAGUAAAAAAUAAAUAAAUAAUUAGAGUUUCGGAAUAAUAUAAUUUCAAGAGGGUUUUGAAUUUAACAGUAAUACAUCCAUAGAUGGAAUGAAAACUACUAAAUUUAAUUCAUUAAAGUUAUUGUUUUUCAAGUUUACAAAAUCAAUAAACUUGCAACGUAAUUUUAGAUGAAAUUCUCAGUAUUGCUGGGUUGAAUUAUCUUAUAAUAGAUUGAAGACAUGUCCAUUAACUUUGCAACACACUUUGAAAUGUGUUAAUCUAAAAUAAAAAAAUUUUAAGUUAUGAAUAUACAAACAAAAAUUUCUAAAAGAAUUUAAUACAAGCUUUUGAGUUGAAGGUUUUGAAUCAGUAUUUAAAUCAUAUUGGACAACUUAAGAGCCCACAUUGCAAAUCAAAUUUGGCAUCAAUAAGCCCAAAUAGUAGCCAAACAUAAAAAGGGUUAGUUGCCAUUAUAAAAGUAAGAGAUUUGAUUGAAAUAUAACAUGGAAGGAUGGUUAAACUCAAAAGACUUGAUAGUUGGCCACUUAGGGAAGGUUUUAGACCAUUUAAACACUUAACUUUCAUGUCUUAUUUAUAACAAUCCUUAAUCUCUACUGAUUGUAACACAUCAUUAAAGUGUUUAGAGAGUUUUCACUAUGGGAGUUUUAUUUACAUAUGUAGUAGAUUUCAAAUAAAGAGUAUUUAUUUAUAUUAAACUUUUAAAACUUGGCCUAUAAAUAAGGGGCUUCGGCCAUCCUUUUAAUCAUUGAAUAAAUUUGAGAGUUUUCUUUUUAUUGUAUGCGUGAAGCAUAUUACAAGAGUAUGAUUCUUCUCUUGUUAUCUUUUGGAGUAUUUCUUUACUUUCAAGUCUUUCAUAGUUGUGAGUCUCCAAGUUCUCAAGGCUUGAUCAUCAAUGAUUCGAGGAGUUCUUCUUCUAAGGGUUUCAUAAGGGUUCAAGUCCGAUCAUUGGUGUUUGUUGAAAUAAGCAAUUGUUUGUUGCUUAGAAAAAUAGAGUACUUGAAUGGAAGUGAUGGCUAUGGUGGUCACUAAAGGCGGCACUACGGUGAACACAACUAAAUACUUAAGGCACGUAGAAUUGUUUACAUGUUCAGUUUUCCUACAUCUACAAAGUCUAGCCGGGUGAGUAAAUCUAUAACACUCCUCACCCAUGCCGACAUACGGUAUGAUUGGGAGGUGCUACCAUAACAAAAAUUUUCAUUUAAUAAAUUAUUUGUUUUACAACAUUUAAAGGCUUGUCAAAUCAAAUUAAAAGAUUUUAGAAAGAUUCCAUGUGAUUAAAAACCAUUUCAAGUCUUUGAAAACAUAUAUAGACAUUUCUGAAUAAUAUAACAAGUGACUAAAAUGCUUUGACUCAAAAUUGAGGUUGUCCGGUUGGGAGAAAUAGGAUUUUUGCUAAAGCUUAAAACCUAAAACCAUUUUAUAAAUUUUUUAAUCUAAGUUUUGGGAAAUUAAAAGACUUUAAAAAUAAUUUAAAACCAUUUUGAAGUUGCUUGAGAGUGAUCGGAGGUGUUCGGGACCCAAAACGGACCUUGAAAAGUCAAAAUGACUCAAAACGACAAGUCCCCAGUUGUAUUGAUACACAUCCUAUUACACCCUUUACUCGAUUCGAUCACUAAGUUUGAAUCACAGGAUGCUACAUUCGUUGCUAGAGCAACUAUAGUCAAUCAAACAAUAUAUAAACAUUUAUACAUGUAAACAAGAGUUAAUCACAUUCAAAUUUAUCAUUAACAAUCAAUUCUAAGUCUCAAUCAAGCUUACGAAUGCUCUUUUGUCAAACCAAGCACAAAACAUGACCAAAUUCCAGAGUUUUAAAAGUUCGGGCCCAACAUCAAGACAUCAUCUCUUCCAUAUUGUGACAUCACCAAAAUAGUAUGCCACAUCAUGACUCCAGGCCACUUAACUUCGCGACAUCACUUACUAUCGGUCGAUGUUGGAAUGACGUAAGUUGGCGGUUAGAACAUGAACCCUAUUUUUGCUAAAAAUGAUUCAUUUGAUACCUAUUUCAUAGUUUCCAAUCAAACCAACCAAUAUGCUCACCUAAAAACUGUAACACCCUUCACCCGGUCCAGUCUUGGACCCAAGCUGUAGGAUGCUAAAACUAUUAAUGGAGCAAUAAUAAGCAAAUCGAAAACCAACAAUUCAAUAAAAAAUCAAAUAACUACAUGCAUUCACAAAAAUCAUAGUUUGCAAAACAAAAUUCAAUAACAAUGAAUAUACAAGUUAAACAAGUAAACUUGUAAUGAAUUCAAUUAUAAGAAAAUGUAUAUUAAUGAGCAUUGUCUCAUAAUACAUUUCUUUAGUGCUUUCUUUUGAUUAUCUAACUCGGUUUAUGGCUUGUAUAUAAGCACAUUAGUACGCCUCCAAUGUUUUAUAUUCUAAUCUCAAAUAUCAACAUCUAGAUUCAAAUCAUAAAAUCAUUUCUAUUUUAAUCUCAUUCUCUAGCAUAUGGCACUUUCAUAUUAGCAUUUAUGUCUCAAAUUCAUCGAUUGAGUAAUUCAACUCUUUUCAUAGAAUCAUUGCCCCCUAAGGGUCUUAAUACUUAAUACGUAUGAUCUUUCACAUGCUAACAAUAAUCUCAUGUAAAUUACCUUUCAACUAACCAAUUCAACCAUAUAAAAUUUAUUAUUUGGCCUCUAUUAACCGGACGCAAACUAAAGGACGGAUACACAGUUUAUCCGUCAUUACACCAAUGUACCCUUACGAACACCCAAUGCUUAGGAACUAGAGAUAUGUUCCCAAGGACACCUAGAGCUCAAGGGAAAAUGAUUGAAUAGAAAUGCACUUAGUGUUAAGCAAUACGUUCUCAUGGAAACCUGGUGCUCUAGAGAAUUACCGAAAUGAUAUGCCCCAGAGCUAAUAAUGACUCUAAUAUAACGAAUCCUAUGGCAUGCUAGCUAUACAUGUAACUCUAUCCGAGACCAUUUAAUAGGGCAUUCAUAGAACCAAUAUACAUGCUUUCACAUAUCAUUUAUUCUUUGAAUCACAUUUUCAUAUAGCAUUCAUAUCAAUUGUCAAUUUCUCAUGAUUUUUCAUCAUAUCAGCACAUGAAUUCAUACACAUACAUAUUCACAACAUUUCAACAAGUCAUCAAGUCACUAAAUGUACUUACCAUUCAUGAGAUAGAGCAUUAUUAUUACCUUAUUCAAUUUACUACUUAAUAGGCUAUAAAUUGAAAUCAAUUUACCAAAUGAUGAACGACUGGUUGGAAAUGGUUAAUGAUUUUGGAUGUAUAUGUGGAUGAUUCGGCUAUGGUUUAUGCAUAGAUAAAAGUAUAUGUGAAUUUGGUUGUUAUGUUUGAUUAAGGUGUUAUUAUGUGAAUUGGCAUUAAAUGAUAUUUGGUUAUGUUCGAACAUGGUAGGAAUAUAUUUUGAUAUGCUUAUUAGAUGGUAUGUAAGAUUUGUGUUUUGGGUAUAUAUCUAUAUUUGGUUAAUGACAUGAAUAUUAUAAAUAGCUUUAAGUAAUCUUGUUAAAUGGAAAAUGGAUGUUUUUGAGUUGUGGUUUGUAAAUGAUGUCAUUUAUAGUGUCAAUUCGGCUAUGCUUUAGAUUAUAUUGAAAAUAUGUAUUCAUGGAAUAUCGUUUAAUACAUGAUUAUACGGUUAAACCUAGUUAAAAUAUCGUUGUAUGCUUAAAACAUAUUUACCAUGAAUUUGCUAUUUAAGUUCAGUCAUGAAUGGCAAUAAGUGAACAAUAUUUGUUUGUUAAUGAGUAUGUAAUUUUAGGUAUAUUAAUUAACAUAAGUAAUGAGUGUACUUUUUGGUGGCAUUUGUACUUAAAAUGGUUUAAUUUAGUAUGGUCAUAUGCGUAUGAUUUAAUGACUAAAAAAAUAGGUAAGUUUAGUCUUUAAUGAUUAGUGUUUUAAAUGAAGUAUAUGAAAAUGUAUGAUUAAUGUCGUAUGGAUGUUUAAAUUUACAUUAAUGUGCAAAGCAUGUAAGUUCAAUUGACUAUUACUAAUGUCGCAUAUGUAAGUGGUUUUUAAGUUGUGUAAUAUUGCUUAUUUAGUUUUGAGAAUGUGUAUUUAUAUUUGUUAAGGAAAUGUCAUAUUUGACAGUCGGAAAAAGAAGUAGACAUAUUGGCAUACAUUUGAUAAAUAACUGUAAUGUUACAUAUUGAAAUGAUAUGUGAUUUGGUGGCUAUACACAUAAUUACAUAGAUAGUAUUGAAAGUAUGUUUGACUAUGUUGAUAAUAAUUAAUGCUGUAUAUAUUAAUGUAUAAUAUGCAGUAAGUAAUACGUUGAAAUUUGUUAUGUUUUGUGUAUACAAUGUGCAAAUCAAUGUAUGUUCUGAAAUGUAAAUUAAUUAUAUGCUCUUUAUAAAUGAGUUUGACUUGUGUGAAUAUAUGAAUGUUUAGAAUUGCGCUUUUGUUCGAUAAUGCCUCGUAACCCUAAUCCAGCGACGGAUACGGGUUAGAAGUGUUACAUUUGAUUGGUAUCAGAGCUACGGUUUAGUCGAUUCUAGGACUAACAUAGCGCGUGUAAGUCUAGCUAUACAUGCCAUAUUAUAUACUACGAUAGUGUGAUGACUUCUGACAUUUGAAAAUGUGUUUUCGUAUAGUAAAUGGAUCCCGAUAAAGCCGUAGCUGAUGAUGUUGAGAGUAUAGCACCUGCUCCCACGCAAGGGACAGCGCCGGUUGAUUCUCAAUCGACUUCGAGUAACUAAGAGGGAAAGGCAAAACAAGUCUUUUACCAAAUGAUGAACGACUGGUUUACUUAGUAUAUCCGGACUAACAAGGCUACACAACAACCUCCACCCCAGACUAAUCCUUUUCCAAUACCUGUUAUAUCUCAAGUGAGUGAUCCAUUGAGAUCAUAUAAGCCUCCUGUUGAUAAAAUCAGAAAACACUUGGCUGAAAAAUUCAGAGCUACUGAUGAUGAUGAUGCUAAGCGAGCUGAAUUCUGGCUUAAUAAUACUAUUCGUGUGCUUGAUGAGCUAUCCUGUACUCUAGAUGAAUGUUUGAAAUGUGCCAUAUCUUUGCUACGAGACACCGCAUAUCACUGGUGGAAUACACUAGUAUUGGUGGUUCCUAAAGAACGAGUGACCUAGGACUUCUUUCAAACUAAGUUCUGUAAGAAAUAUAUCAGCCAAAGAUUUAUCGACCAGAAACACAGAAUUUCUAGAGUUGAAACAGGGUCAGAUGACCGUGACAGAAUAUGAACGAAAAUUUGUAAGACUCAGUAGCUAUGCCCAUGAGUGUGUUUCGACUGAAGCUAUCAUGUGUAAAAGAUUCGAAUACGGGUUGAACGAAGGCAUUAAACUGUUAGUUGCCAUACUUGAAAUAAAAGAGUUCGUAGUACUGGUUGAGCGAGCGUGCAAAGCCGAAGAGCUCGAGAAAAAGAAAAGAAAAGCUGACUUUGAAGCUAGAGAUUUGCUUAAAAAAUCGUCGGGUAAAACUUUUCAGUCGACAUUAAAGAGAUUCUAGGAUGAUUCUAGCCGUUCAAAGGCUAUAUUGCGAGUUAUACUAGACGUGAUUGAGAUAGACCACCUGUGAGCUCGAGAGCUACCUCAGUAGCUAGUGUUGGUAAUGUUAGAUCAAAUCAACCCGAGUGUAAACAUUGUGGUAAAUAACAUCCCAACAGUUGUAGAUUGCAUGAUCGGGGCUGUUUUAAAUGUGGAUCGAUGGAUCAUUUCAUUCGUGAAUGCCUUGAGUUAGCUGGACAAAAUCCAGUACAGAAUACGAGACCAACUAACAUGUCAGCUCGAGGUAGACCGCCCAGAAAUGCGAGUAAUGUGAGUAGCAGUCAGAGAGGAACUAAAGACACAGCAGUUCAAUCCGAGGCUUGCGCACCUGCCAGAGCUUAUGCCAUACGUACUCGCGGGGAGGCUUCAUCCUCAGAUGUUAUUACUAGUACAUUCACUCUCUAUGAUAUUAGUGUAAUUGCAUUGAUUGAUCCUGGUUCGACUCAUUUUUAUGUGUGUGAGACUUUAGUAUUCAGUAAGACUUUGUCUGUUGAGUCUACUGAAUUUGUGAUUAGAGUAUCGAACCCCUUGGGCCGAUGUGUUAUGGUUGAUAAAGUGUGUAAGAAUUACCCUUUGAUGAUUCGAGAUUCAUGUUUUUUAGUUGAUUUGAUGUUGUUGCCAUUCGACAAGUUCGAUAUAAUUCUGGGUAUGAACUGGUUGCACGAUACUAUCGUAAAUUGUAAAAGAAAAACUAUUGACUUACUAUGCCAGAAUGAUGAGAUUAUUCAGAUUGAAUCUAAUGAUCUGAAUGGUUUACUAGAAGUGAUAACUUUGAUGCUAGCUCAAAAGUAUGUGAGAAAGGUUUGUGAAGCUUACUUUGCGUAUGUGCUUGAUAGUAAAGUGGCUGAAAGAAAGAUUGAAUCAGUACUAGUUGUGUGCGAGUAUCCGAAUGUGUUUCCUGAAGAAUUGUUGGGUUUGCCACCUAUCCGAGAAGUAGAGUUUGGUAUUGAGUUAGUACUGGGGAUGACUCCAAUAUUGAUAGCUCCGUACAGAAUGGAACCUACUAAAUUAAAAGAAUUGAAAGCUCAGUUGCAAGAGUUGACAGAUAGAGGUUUCACGUGACCAAGUUUUUCUCCCUAGGGUGCACUAGUUUUAUUUGUGAAAAAGAAAGACGGAACUAUGUGAAUGUGUAUCGACUAUAGACAGCUUAAUAAGGUGACUAUAAAGAAUAAAUAUUCAUUGCCACGAAUUGACGACCUGUUUGAUCAGCUAAAAGGGGCUAUAGUAUUUUCAAAGAUAGAUUUGAGAUCAGGCUAAUAUCAGUUACGAGUUAAAGACUUCAAUGUUGUGACACCCCUAAUGUGACCCUAGUCGGAAAGUGGUUUCGGGACCACAAAACCGAGUCAUAAAAAUAAUUAACCGUCAUAUUUGAUGCUUAUUAUAUAUAUAUAUGCAUGUGUGAAAAUUUCAUGUUUGGAUUUUGUUAAUUGUAAGUGAAUUUUAUUAAAUAGGACUUGUGUGAGAAAAUUUAGAAAUGUGCUAGGCAAAUGUUAAAGUGGCCUAUUGAUGCAUGUUAGAAAAUGCUUGUCCUUGCAUGUCAAAUUACCCAAAACUUUAGGUAAUGGCCGGCCAUGCUAUGGGUUAAAGCAUAUUAUAAACAUUUUGUGUUAAUGUUUUAUGUUAGAAAUAAUAAAAUAAAAGGUUAGUAAUAAAGUAAUGAAAAGGGAGGGGUGAUGAAAACAAAGUUGUCUCAUCCAUGCUUCCCCAUUGCCGUGACUUGAGGAAGGAAGAAGAAAAGGAUUCUCUUGCUUCAUGUUCGGUUGGUUGAUGUUUAGGAAGAGGUAUGUUUGAUGUUAUUCCAUGAAAUUCAUGCAUAUUUCUAGAUGUUGGUUUAAAUUCUUUUGCUAUUUGAUGGAGAUGAUACUCGGCCAUGGGUGUUGUCUUCUUGGUUGGUGUUUGAUGUUGUGGUGAUGAGGCAUGAAGAUGAUUGAGUUUGAGUGCUUAAUAAAAAGGAUGGGUCUUAACAACUUCAUGAAGUAUUCGGCCAUGGUGCUAAAAUGUUGUAUUGUGUUUAAACUUAGAAUUUUUAGUUAUAUGGAUGUGUUAAGUUGCUUGAAAUGUUAGAUUAAUUUGAACUCAUCACCAAGUUCUUUAGGCAACCCAUGUUAAAAAUUUCGGUAUUGAGAUGCCUAGAACUUUUGGCCAUAGUAACUAUGGAGAAAUAAGGUUUUUGUUUCUUGUUAAAUUGGAUGUAUCUUGUUGUAUGAGUGCUUGAACAAACUAUGAUUAAAUAGAUGCAUAGAUUCAAGGUGGGAAGAAUUGGCUAUUAUGCUUGAUACUAAUGCCGAAUAUGAGAAUGUUGUACUUGAAAAAUGUAGGUGAACAUGACAAGUGUAUUCGGCUUAGGGCAUAAAGGAUAUGAAAAUUUGGUAUUUAUUUUUGAUUGUGUGUGUAUGACCAUGGAUAAUUGGCUGCACAGAUAUUAUAAAUACAUAAUGUAUGUUGAAUUUAUUAAGCUACAAAACAUUAUACAUGAUCGGCCAAGGUAAAUUAUUUGAGUAAAGUAUAUCUUGAUGGUACAUUUCGGCUAGUAUAAAAUGUAUAUGGAUGUCGUAUGACUAUGUUUAAUUUGGGAAGUAAAUUGUUUGAUUUAGCUCAAGAGCCUAGAGGAUCAAAGUUGGAUAAGGGAAAGGAAAAAGUGAUCGAAUAACCGUCGUAAUCGUUCGGCAACUUCCGAGGUAAGUUUUAAGUGAUUAAAAGUUGAGUAAAUUCAAUCAUAAUAGGACAUAAUGAGUUGAUUUAAUAAGAUAUGAUGUGGCCAUGAUAUGUCUUAAACUCAAAUGGUAAGUUCAUAAGUGUUUGGACUUGGAAAUUUAAGAGCAAAUUGUAAUAAUUUGCUUAGGACAGCAGCAGUAACGUGAUUUUAGAAAUCACUAUAAAUUGUUGGUGUGGAAUUAUAGGCUGAAUAAAAUAUGUAUUCAAAGCUUAAUUAGUCUAGUUUCUUAUAAAAGAGACCGUGUAAGCAAAGAAAUUUCCUAUAAAGAGAUAUUUAAAGUUGUGUGAGACAGUGUCAGAAUGACUCUGAAAUCCCCUGUUCUGUUUUUAGAAAAUCAUUAUAAUUUGUACAAAAAUGGUUAUAAGAUAAAAUUUAUAUGCUUAGACUCCUUAAUGAGUCUAGUUUCAAAUGAAAUCAAAUAGAACAUAUUUUUAAUUCUGUACAAUGAGAAAUUUGAUUCGUAGUGAAGAGUGGUCAGAUUAGUCAAACAGUGAAACAGGGGAAACUUUAAGAAAAAUCUGGUAUUGAUUGGCCAAACCUAAAAUUAUGAAAAUUUUAUGGAUGGAAGAUAUAUGAGUCUAUAUUCAGGGAAAAUUAACGGAAAUUGAUUUUGAGUUUUUUAGCUCCAGUUAUAAAUAAUUUAGUGACUAUUGCUCAGGGAAAACAGCUUGUAGUGAAUAUGUGAAUUUGUUGUAAACAUUGAUGAAACUAUUUGAGUUGCUUAUAAGCUAUUGCAGAAAUUGAUGUACAAGAUAAAUAUAUAUGUGUGUGGUAAAGCCGAAUGGCUAGUGUGAAAUAUGUAUGAGAUAUGUAUAUGUGGUAAAGCCGAAUGGCUAAUGUGAAAUAUAUAUGAGAUAUGUAUAUGUGGUAAAGCCGAAUGGCUAAUGUGAAAUAUCUAUGAGAGAUAUGUAUAUGUGGUAAGGCCGAAUGGCUAGUGUGAAAUAUGUAUGAGAUAUGUAUAUGUGGUAAAGCCGAAUGGCUAGUGUGAAAUAUAUAUGAGAUAUGUAUAUGUGGUAAAGCCGAAUGGCUAAUGUGAAAUAUAUAUGAGAUAUGUAUAUGUGGUAAAGCCGAAUAAAUAUAUAUGAGAUAUGUAUAUGUGGUAAAGCCGAAUGGCUAGUGUGAAAUAUGUAUGAGAUAUGUAUAUGUGGUAAAUCCGAAUGGCUAGUGUGAAAUAUAUAUGAGAUAUGUUUAUGUGGUAAAGCCGAAUGGCUAAUGUGAAAUAUGUAUGAGAUAUGUAUAUGUGGUAAAGCCGAAUGGCUAAUGUGAAAUAUGUAUGAGAUAUGUAUAUGUGGUAAAGCCGAAUGGCUAGUGUGAAAUAUUAUGAGAUAUGUAUAUGUGGUAAAGCCGAAUGGCUAAUGUGAAAUAUAUAUGAGAUAUGUAUAUGUGGUAAAGCCGAAUGGCUAGUAUGAGAUAUGUAUAGCCGAAUGGCUAGCAUGAAAUAUAUAUGAGAUAUGUAUAUGUGGUAAAGCCGAAUGGCUAGCGUUUAAUAUAUAUGAGAUAUGUAUAUGUGGUAAAGCCGAAUGGCUAGCGUGAAAUAUGUAUGAGAUAUGUAUAUGUGGUAAAGCCGAAUGGCUAAUGUGAAAUAUAUAUGAGAUAUGUAUAUGUGGUAAAGCCGAAUGGCUAGUGUGAAAUAUGUAUGAGAUAUGAAUAUGUGGUAAAGCCGAAUGGCUAGCGUGAAAUAUGUAUGAGAUAUGUAUAUGUGGUAAAGCCGAAUGGCUAGUGUGAAAUAUGUAGGAGAUGUGUGUAUAUUGUGGCCGAAUGACCAAAUGUGAAAGGUGUGUAUUAUUAGAUAUUUGAUGAGGCAAAUGAAUUACAAAUAUGACAGUCGAUGUGAAUGUUGUAACAUGUGAUUAAAUGUACAUGAAACUUGGAAAUAUAUUCCGGGUAAGACCCGAUGACUACGUGUGGAGAUUUUGUCCGGGUAAGACCCGAUAACUACGUGUGGGGACUAUUCGAGCUAAAGGUUUCGCUGAAGAUUCGAGUAAAGUUGGUAAUAAAUACGUUCAAUGCGUUAAGUUGGUCAGGUAUGUAUUUUGAGAUUAUAUUUAAGCUUGAUUUGGACUAAAUUACAAGGUCGUUAUGUGAUGCAUAUGUGAGUAAAGCAAUAAGACUGUUCUAUGAUUAUUGUGCGUUUGGUCAAUGUGGAAAGUUAGGUGAGAAUAUAUAAUGUACCUAUGUUUAUAAGAGAUCACUAUCAAGUGAGAAUUUAUCUGCCUAUUAUAUAUGAUGAGAUGUGCAUAUUCGGUAAAGGGAUGGUAUGCCCGAAGGAAGAGUGAAAUAAAAAUACGAACAACUAUGUUAUAAUUUGAUUGUUAUCUGUUGACAUUGCUUAAAACUUACUAAGCAUUGUAAUGCUUACUCCGUUUACUUUGUUUCCUCUGUUUUAUAGAUCUCAUUUGGAAGCUACAGGCUCGGGGAUCGUCAGCAACUAGUCACACUAUCACUAUCCACUGCUUGUUACUGUUAUGUUUUGAAUUAUUUUAUGGCAUGUAAAGAAUAGACCAGUGGCCGAAGAAUAUUUUGGUUAAUGUAUAUAAGCCAUGCGAAAAUGGCAUCUUUUGAAUGUGUACUUAUAGAAGUUAAAUUGUAUCCCUGACGGUCUUUAGUAUUUACCUAAAGGAACGUUCUUUAUAAAAAAAAAUAUUCAAAAUUUUUACUGUUCGGAUAUGAGUUUCAAGUCUAGUAAUUCCCCUUUACCUAUUCCGGCGACGGAUACGGGAUAGGGGUGUUACAAAUGUGCCAAUGAUUGCUUUCUGAACGAGGUACAGACAUUAUGAGUUUUUGGUUAUGCCUUUCGAACUUACUAAUCCACCUGCUGUUUUUAUGGAUUUGAUGAACCAGAUCUUCAAACAGUAUCUGGAUCGAUUUGUGGUUGUGUUCAUUGAUGACAUUUUGAUCUGUUCCCGUGAUGAAACCGAACAUGCCAAACAUCUGAGACUUUUGUUAUAGACCUUGCGAGAUAAACAAUUGUAUGCGAAGUACAGUAAAUGUGAGUUUUGGUUACAUGAAGUCAGUUUUCUAGGACAUGUUGUAUCAGCAUCAGGUAUUCGGGCUGAUCCGAGUAAAAUUUUAGCUAUACUUUAUUAGAAACCUCCGAGAAAUGUUUCUGAAGUCUGAAGUUUUUUAGGACUUGCUGGUUACUAUAGACGGUUCGUGAGGUUUCUCUAUGAUUGAAACCCUGAUGACGAAGUUACUACAGAAAGAUGUUAAACUCAAGUGGUCAGAAAAGUGCCAAAAAAGUUUUGAUCAGUUGAAAGCCCUUUUGACCGAAGCUCUAGUGUUAGUUCAGCCAGAAUCAGGUAAAGAAUUCGUUAUCUAUAGUGAUGCAUCUUUAAAUGGUUUGGAUUGUGUUUUGAUACAGGAAGGCAAAGUCAUAUCUUAUGCCUCAAGACAGUUAAAGCCGCAUGAAAAGAAUUAACCAACACAUAAUCUAGAAUUGGCAGCUAUUGUGUUUGCAUUGAAAAUAUGGCGCCACUAUCUAUUCGGUGAGAAAUGUCAUGUUUAUUCUGAUCACAAAAGCCUAAAAUAUUUGAUGACUAAGAAAGAUCUGAAUUUGAGACAAGGACGAUGGUUAGAGUUGUUAAAAAACUACGAGCUUGUGAUUAAUUAUCACCCGGGAAAGACUAAUGUUGUUGCCGAUGCUUUAAGCUGAAAAUCACUAUUUUCUUUGCGUGCAAUGAAUGUGCAUAUGGCUAUGUCUGAUGAUGGUUCGAUAAUAGCUGAAUUAAAAGUAAGACCGUUAUUUAUUUAACAAAUUUGUGAUGCUCAGAAAGUUGAUAAUGAUUUGUUAGGAAAACGGGUCCAAUAUGAUUUGAAUGUUGAUUCAGAGUUUCAAGUUGAUGCUGAAGGUUGUAUGAGGUUCAGAAACUGAAUAUGUGUUCCAAGAAAUCUAGAGUUAAUUUGGAUGAUUUUGAACGAAGCUCACAGCAAUCGGUUAUCUAUUCACCCAGGUAGUACAAAAAUGUAUAAUGAUCUGAAAUAGCUUUACUGGUGGCAUGGUAUGAAAUGAAACAUUUCUGACUUUGUUUCGAAAUGUUUAGCCUGUCAGCAAGUAAAAGCUGAGCAUUAGGUACCUUCUGGAUUGCUUCAACCGAUCAUGAUACUUGAGUGGAAAUGGGAUAGAGUCACGAUGGAUUUUGCAUCUGGUUUACCGUUGACACCGAGCAAGAAAGAUGCAAUCUGGGUUAUUGUGGAUAGAUUGACUAAAUCGGCUCAUUUUGUUCUGAUUCGUACAGAUUACUCGCUUGAUAAGCUAGCUGAAUUGUAUGUUUCUCAGAUUGUGAGAUUACAUGGUGUAAUUAUUUCUAUUGGUUCGGAUAGAGAUCCGAGGUUUACAUCGUGAUUUUAGAAGAAACUACAAGAUGCUCUAGGUACGAAAUUACAUUUCAGCACUGCUUUCCAUCCACAAACAGAUGGUCAGUUCGAAAAAAUCGUUUAGAUACUUGAGGAUAUGUUGAGAUGUUGCAUUCUCGAGUUCGAAGGUACUUGGGAACGAUACUUACCUCUGAUUGAAUUUGCGUACAAUAAUACCUUUCAAUCGAGUAUCAAAAUGGCACCUUACGAGGCUUUGUAUGGGCAUAAAUUUAGUACACCAUUGUAUUGGAUUGAGCUCAGUGAAAACAAGGUACACGGGGUCGAUUUGAUUAGAGAGACUGAGCAAAAAGUAAAAGUGAUCCAUGAAAGUCUAAAAACAGCGUCAGAUCAUCAGAAAUCAUAUGCGGACUUGAAACGAAAAGAUAUAGAGUUUCAAAUCGGGAACAAAGUAUUUUUGAAAGUCUCACCGUGGAAGAAAAUACUCAGAUUUGGUCGUAAUGGCAAAUUAAGUUCGAGAUUUAUUCGCCGUAUGAGAUUAUAGAGCGUAUCGGGUCAGUUGCUUAUAGACUAUUGUUGCCACCUGAGUUAGAAAAGAUCCAUAAUGUAUUCCAUGUUUUGAUGCUUCGUAGAUAUCAAUCUGAUCCCUCACAUGUGAUUAAUCCGUCAGAGAUUGAGAUUAAGUCUGAUAUGACAUAUGAGGAAGAACCGAUUUGUAUACUGCCUUGCGAAGUUAGAGAAUUACGAAAUAAGAAAAUUUCGUUAGUGAAAGUACUGUGGCAAAAACACGGAGUUGAGGAAGCAACGUAGGAGCUAGAGGAUGCAAUGAAAGAACGUUAUCCGAACCUAUUCACCGGUAAAAUUUUCAAGGACGAAAAUCCCUAAGAGGGAGAGUUGUAACAACCCGAUUUAGACCUUAUUUGAAAUGGUGGUUUUGGGACCGCGAAUGUGAGUCAAAAAAUAUUUUAAAAUUAUUUUCUGUGUUUAUUAUGUGUGAGUUUAUAUGUGUGAAAUUUUCGUGAUUUAAUUUUGUCGUUUGAGUGCCCGAUUAAAUAAAAAAGCUUAAUUGCGUAAAAUGAAAAUUUGAUGGUUAAUUGUAAAAGGGUUGAAUUGAUGUUUUCUUUCUUACAUGAGGUAUUUAUGUUGCAAUUUGACCAUAUGAAUUAGUCAUGGACGGUUAUGACCUUAUUAUAUAAUGGUUUUAUAUUAAUUGUUAAAGGUUAAAAUUGUAAAAUGUGUAAUAAUAUAUGUAAUAAUAAAACAUAAAAAUUAAAAUAAGCUUUCAUAAUACUUUGUUCUUGCUGAAACAUAAAAGAAAAGAAAAGAAAUAAGAGUUCAAGGGUUCAGCCUUUUGAUAGCUUAAUCAAGGUAUGUAACUAGCUCGGUUUUUGAUAAUGUUUACGUCUUUGAGAUUGUUGCAAUGUAAUGUACAAAGCCCAUGCUUGAAUUUUUUAUUUUGAUGAAUAUUUUGAGUUAUGCCAUUGAUAAAUAUUUGAGUAUUGUGAUGUUAGUUGAUGAAUUAUGAAAUAUAUGUUUUGGAUUGAUAUGUUUUGUAUUGGAAUUUUUGAUGAUUUUGAGUAAUUAGGGCUUAAUUGCAAAAAUGAUAGUUUGAGGGACUACUGUAAUAUCCCGAAUUAGGGCCUAAUCAGAAUAGUGGUUUUGUGACCAUAAAUCCGAGAUAGAAAUAAUUAUUUUAUAAUUAUUUUUAGGUUUAUGAUAUGAUUGCAUGAUUGUGUGAAAAUUUCGUGAUGAAAUUCUAUGCCUAAAGUGCUUAAAUUGAAAGUAGGGACUAAAUCGAAUAAGUUGCAAAACUUGCAUUCUAGAAGUUUUUAGUAUGAAAUUGUUUUGGAAUAUUAAUGAGGAGGUCUUAAAUAGCAAUUUGACCAAUUUUAAGUUCAUGGACAAAAUUAGGACAUGGAAGGAAUUUUUGGAAAGUUUAGUAGUAAGGGUAUUUUGGUCAUUUAGUUAUUAAAAUGAAUUAAAAACAAAAUUAAAAGCCAAUUUUUGUCCAUCUUCUUCAUUAGGCCGAAAUUUCAAGGGUUCUCCAUAGCUAGGGUUUGUUUCAAGCUUCCAAGCUCCAUAGUAAGUGAUUCCAAGCCCCGUUUUUAAUGAUUUUUACGAUUUUGAGAUCUCGAUAAAGCUUAUGUUAGCAAUAAUUUAACCUAGGGUUUAUAUUUGGAAAAAUACCCAUAGGUGAAAUUUGUGUAUUUUGAUGUUUUAUGAUAGAAUAUGAAGUUUUAAAUUAUGUUAGACAACUUGUACUACUCGAUUUUAAGCAAAAACGAGUAAAAGGGCUUAAUCGGUAAAAAUACCUAAUAGUCACAAGUACAUGUUAGAGUGAGAAUUUGAUGUUGCCAUAGAAGAGAAAAGUGAUCAGCUUGUUGUAAAACAUAAGAAUAAGGAAUAAAUUUUAAUCCCGAGCCUAGGGGCAAAAAUGUAAAUAUGCAAAAGUUUAGGGGUAAAAUUGUAAUUUUGCCAAAAUUUGAGUUAAGGAUUAAUUUGAUAAUGUGAGUAUUAAAUAAGCUAAAUGUGUUAUUUUAGAUCAAGAAAGACGUGGAAUCGACCUCAAUCGAGGAAAAGAAAAGAUUGUGGACUAAAUUGCAAAAUCUUUGUAUUUUGGUACCAAGGUAAGUUCAUGUGUAAAUAAUGUAUCAUAAUGGUUAUUUUUAAGUUAUUGAUGUUAAUUAUAUGUUAUGCUGAAUUUUAUUAUGAAAUGUAUGAUUUGUGGUUAAUUUCAAAUAAUAUGUAAAUUAUGUGAACUACUUGUUAAAUAUAAUUGUUACCGAGUAUUGAUUUCGGCAUUCUACGGAAGACGGCAAGGAUAAGUGUUCGAGGAAAAAUCCCGUUUGAACCUUAGGAAUAGAUUAGGAUACAAGUGACAUGUCACUAGGAUGAUUGAGCAUCCGAACUCGUUGAGUUGAGUCCGAGUUCACUUAUGGAUGCGAAUGUCCGAACUCGUUGAGUUGAGUCCGAGUUCGUGAGAUGUAACUAGGCAUCCGAACUCGUUGAGUUGAGUCCGAGUUCACUUAUGGAUGCGAACACCCGAGCUCGUUGAGUUGAGUCCGAGUUCGCUUAUGGGCGGGUUACAUGAUUGCUUGAUUGCAUAUAUGGCACUUAUGUGCAAGUUAUCCAUGUAUCCGAAUUAUAUUCCGAUGUGUUCAACGGGUAAAGUUCUACUCAAUGGAGGAAUAUUCGAGAUGUAAAGAGAAGUAUUGGUGAGUGAUAUGAAAUGGUUAUUUUGGACAAGUAUGUAUUUAACCCUCGGGUUGAGUAUUGAUACAACCACGAUAAGGUAAUAAGAUGAUGAAAAAUGAUUAAAAAUGUGAUAUGUGUUUUAGUGAUACAUGCUAAUGUUGAUUGGUAUGACUGUUUGUUAUGUUACUUAUUAUUUGCAUAUGAACUUACUAAGCAUUUAUGCUUACUCCCUCCUUCUUACUCAUUGUAGUUUUGGACAAGCCAGCUCAGGAGCCGGGAUAGGUCGAAGGCUCAGUCACACUAUCCGGAAGACUUUUGGUAAUGGCUUGUAAAUUUAAGUAUGGCAUGUAUAGCAAUAUAUUUUUUUGUGUAAAUGAUCUUAUGGUAUGGUGAUGGAAUGGUUGAGGAAAUGCUUGAUAAUGAUAAAUUAUGAAAAUAUUUAGUUUAGAUUAUAUUUGAUGUUAAGGAAAAUUAUUAAGAUACUUAGUGCAUAAAAACUCAUAAAAGGGAUGAAAUUUGCCAUAAACAGAAUACUACAGCAACACUGACGCGAGUUUAAAAAUUUACUAAAAAUCAUAAAAAUUGAAAUUGUUGAUGGAAUACAUAUCAAAUUGAAGCUUAUUAUGUCUAGUUUCACAUGAAACAAAUGAAACAGAUAAAGGAAUUAUAUGUUACAAGAUAUUUGAAUUUUAGUGAAACAGGGUUAUAGCAGUUUCUGAAUCCCCUGUUCCAACUUUAGAAAUUCACCAUAAAUUGUAAAGAUAUAAUUAGGUAGUGUAUUUUAUAUUCUCAGAAUCCUUAUUGAGUCUCGUUUCAUUAGAAACAAACCUCAUUGUCAUAUGGAUUUUUUACAGAGAGAAAUGUGGUUCGUAGUAAAUAGAGGUCAGACCAGUCAAGUCCUGAAACAGGGGUAACUUUAACUAAUAAACUAUACUAAUUGGCCCAACCAAAAAUUCUAGAAAACAAUUAGUAGAUAGGUAUAUGAGUCUAGAUUUAGGGAAAAUUUACGGAUCUUUAUUUCGAGUUUCGUAACUCGAGAUAUGAUUUUUCUUGUGACUAUGAUGCAAGUAGCUUAAAAGCUGUGAAUGUAGAAAUAAAUAAUCCAAAGUUCUAAAUAUGUUAAAUUAAGCUUAGUAACACCUCAUACUCGACUCCGGCGACGGUCUCGGGCGUGGGGGCGUUACAACUACAAUGUGAAAUAAAUGAAAUUUAUGACCUUGUAAAAACAUAAUUAAGAUUCGGCCUAAGCAUGGUGUACUCAAAUUUUGCAUGUUUUGUGUUUUGUGCAAUAGGGACUAAAUUGUAAAAAGUGUGAAAUGUCAGGGGUAAAAUGGUAAUUUGCCUAUUUAUGUGUUUUUGGACUACAUUGAGUGAAAAUAUAUUUUAAUAAGUUUAAUUUGAAUAUGUUUAGAUCAAGAACCAAAAAAAUCGGAUUUGGAUCGAGGAAAAACCAAAGUUCUCGAUUAGCCGUCCCGUUCCAAUUAUCGUUGUCCGAGGUAGGUUUCUAAGCAAAUAAAUGCUGUAAAUUUUGAAUAUAUGUGAAUGUAAAAUGUUGAUUUAAAUUUUAUGAGUUUGUAUAUAUGAUAGCCGAAAGUGUAUAUACUUGGGAACUAUGUUUACGAGUUCGAUUUGACCGAGUUACGACGUCCGAAAGCCCUGUACGAACCUUAAGAAUAGUUAGGAUACAUAUGUCAUGACGUAGGAUUUUCGAUAUGUGUUCUCGUGUAAGACCACGUCUGGGAUGUUGGCAUUGAUAUAUGUGGUUACGUGUAAGACCAUGUCUUGGACAUCGGCAUCGUAUUUUAUUCGUGUAAGACCUUGUCUGGGACAAUGGCAUCGAUAUGAGAUUGCAUGUAAGGCCACGUCUAGGACAUUGGCAUUGUACGAUAUAUGUGAUUAUCUGAGUAUCCUAUUCAAUUCUGAAUGGUUCAAUAGGUAAUGAUAAGUUGUGAUCGAAAGUGUAAAACGAGCUAAAUCGAUCAGGUAUGAGUUAGUUGGUUACUUAUUUGAAAAUAAGGUAAGUUGGUUAUUUGAUAUGUGAUUCAAAUUAUACAAGUUACUAAUGUAAACAUAUAUACAUUUGUGUAGUAUAUUCGGCUAUAUUCUAUGAAUAUGUAUGUGAUGAUAUCUUUUGAUUCAUGAGUAUAUGUAUAUGAGUGUAAAUGUACUUGGUUAUAUAAUAACAUUUUGGCUUUGAAAUUGAAAGAUACUUUGUUAAUAUAUAUAUGUACACUCGGCCAUGAAUAAAUUUAUAUGUGAAAGUAUAUGUUUUACAUGAAAUUGUAAGCUUGAGAUUUAAUGUAAUUAUGAUAGUAUAAUUUUGUUUGGUUUAAAUGAGUUGAUUAUGUCAUUGAGUUGUUUAUUUGCUUAUGACUUACUAAUCUUUGAUAGCUUACUGUGUGUGUUUAUAUUUGCCUCUGUUUUAUAGAUUUUGGAGAUUAGUUACGAGCUCGGGGAUCGUCAGCAAAGUCUAUCACACUAUCGACUGUUUUUGGUAUUUUAUAAGUUUAAACUUGAACCUAUGGCAUGUAUAAGCUAGAUUAUAUUUGGUCAAGUUUAAAGUAUGUAUAUAUUAAGCCAUGCAAAAAUGGCUAAUAUGUUAUGUGAGUAUAUGAAAAUUUAGUCAAGUUUAUAUGUGUUAUAUGCUUUGGAAAUGGUUAAUGAUUUUGGAUGUAUAUGUGGAUGAUUCGGCUAUGGUUUAUGCAUAGAUAAAAGUAUAUGUGAAUUUGGUUGUUAUGUUUGAUUAAGGUGUUAUUAUGUGAAUUGGCAUUAAAUGAUAUUUUGUUAUGUUCAAACAUGGUAGGAAUAUAUUAUGAUAUGCUUAUUAGAUGGUAUGUAAGAUUUGUGUUUUGGGUAUAUAUCUAUAUUUGGUUAAUGACAUGAAUAUUAUAAAUAGCUUUAAGUGAGCUUGUUAAAUGAAAAAUGGUUGUUUUUGAGUUGUGGUUUGUAAAUGUUGUCAAUUAUAGUGUCAAUUUGGCUAUGCUUUAGAUUAUAUUGAAAAUAUGUAUUCAUGGAAUAUCGUUUAAUGCAUGAUUAUACGGUUAAACCUAGUAAAAAUAUGGUUGUAUGCUUAAAACAUGUUUACCUUGAAAUUGCUAUUUAAGUUCGGUCAUGAAUGGAUAUAAGUGAACAAUAUUUUUAAAGGUCAUAUUGAAGUUGUUUUGAAUGUCCGAAUGUUGACUAUUUGUUCGUUAAUGAGUAUGUAAUUUUAGGCAUAUUAAUUAGCACAAGUAAUGAGUGUACUUUUUGGUGGUGUUUGUACUUAAAAUUGUUUAAUUUAGUAUGGCCAUAUGCGUAUGAUCUAAUGACUAAAAAAAUAGGUAUGUUUAGUCUUUAAUGAUUAGUGUUUAAAAUGAAGUAUAUGAAAAUGUAUGAUUAAUGCAUAUGAAAAUAUAUGAUUAAUGCCGUAUGGAUGUUUAAAUUUGCAUUAAUGUGCAAAGCAUGUAAGUUCAUAUUGAUUAUUACUAAUUCGCAUAUGUAAGUGGUUUUUAAGUUAUGUAAUAUGGCUUAUUUAGUUUUAAGAAUGUGUAUGUAUAUUUGUUAAGGAAAUGUCAUAUUUGAUAGUCAGCUAAAGAAGUAGACAUAUUGGCUUGCAUUUGAUAAAUAACUGUAAUGUUACAUAUUGAAAUGAUAUGUGAUUUGGUGGCUAUACGCAUAAUUACAUAGAUGGUAUUGGAAGUAUGUUUGACUAUGUUGAUAAUAAUUAAUGCUGUGUAUAUUAAUGUAUAAUAUGCAGUAAGUAAUACGUUGAAAUUUGUUAUGAUUUAUGUAUACAAUGUGCAAAUCAAUGUAUGUUCUGAAAUGUAAAUUAACUAUAUGCUCUUUAUAAAUGAGUUUGACUUGUGUGAAGAUAUGAAUGUUUGGAAUUGUGCUUUUGUUCGAUAAUGCCUCGUAACUCUAAUCCGGUGACUGCUAUGGGUUAGAGGUGUUACAAAAAUCCUGUUAGAACAUAGAGCCACCCCAAUCUAUGACUGUCAACAAUUUUUUGAUCUAAAUCAAGAAUAAGUAUGGAUGACCCCUAUUAUACAAUCCUUACAAGAGGAAAACUCAGUAGAUGAACGAAAAAGAGUUAGCCAAAGUAAAACAUAAAGCCGCAAGGUACAAUGUUGUUAUUUACUUUUAAUGUAUCCUGGUAUCUGCAAGUUAUUUAACUUUCAUUCAAUUAAAAUUGUUCGAUCUAUCACCUUUAGAUAUAUCAUGUUAAUGGGUAUAAAUUAUAAAAAUGGUUACUCCCAGACACUUUUUGAGAUGCCCUACUCCCACCAAAGUUGAAUACAUCGUGAUGGAGAUACAUGAGGGAAUAUGUGGCGAUCACUUGGGGGGAAGAUUGUUAGCACAAAAGGUUCUUAGACAAGGAUAUUAUUGGCAAACCAUACAGAAUGAUGCUCACGACAUAGUUUGCACUUGUAAAUCCUGCCAGAAAUAUGCUCUAGUACAAUGCUCACCAACUAAGUUUCUAGAAAUGAUGCUUGGUCUUUGGUUGUUCGCAACUUGGGGAAUAGAUAUCUUAAGUCCAUUUCCAAUAGCCAUAGCUAAAAAAAAUUCAUUGUUACCCUAUGGAAUAUUUUACUAGGUGGAUAGAAGUUGAAGCUUUGGCUACAAUAACAGAAAGGUAAAUGGAAUCUUUUCUCUAGAAAUCCAUUGUUUGCAAGUUCGACAUCCCACGUUUGAUCAUAACAGACAAUGAAACUCAACUCCAAGGAAAAUUUAAGGGCUUCUGUAAGGACCUGCAGAUAUCACUCGCUCAAAGCUUUGUGAAGAUGCCCCAAACGAACGGUCAAGCAAAGGUAAUGAACAAGAAAAUCUUAGUAGCUUUAAAGAAAAGGUUGAUGAGGCCAUGUGUGUCUGGCUAGAAGAGUUACUAGGAAUUAUAUGGAUCCUACGAGUAUCUCUUCACACAGUAACUAGGGAAACAACAUUCUCAUUAGUGUAUAAGGAAAAAGCAGUAAUCUCUACUGAGAUAGGCCUAUGAUCCCACAGGACAGCUUAUUUCGAUGAAAAUGCCAACUAGGAGACCAUCAGACUCAAUUUAGAUCUUAGUGAUGAAAUCAAAAAUGCUGCAUAAGCUCAGCAAGUUGCUAGAUACUACAACUCUAGAGUAAAAACCAAGCAAUUUCAAGUGGGCGAUCUAAUCUUGAGAAUAUUGAAGCUAAUUUCUCAAUAUCGCAGCAAGGAAAAGUGGCCCCUAAUCGAUAAAGACCCUACAAAAUUGUCAAGAAAAAAGGCUAUGGAGCUUAUAGAACAACAAAAAUGGAUAGUCAUGUUCUACCUCGUACAUGGAAUGCUCACCAUCUGAAACAAUAUUAUGUAUGAAUGUUCUACUCUCUUUUUCAAUAAAGAUACAUUCUUUGAAAAUGUUAUUUAAUUUACCCAGAUAGGAAAUAACAAAACAUGUGAAAUAGCUCGCUGAUUUACGAUCACAACUGAUAUUUUUAAAGCUCAUUGAUUUAUGGUCACAAUCUAAGUUCAUUAACUUAUGAUUAUGAACAAUUUUUCCUGAGUUUACUGACUUACAAUCACAACUCCAAACAGCUCGAUGAUUUAUGAUCACAGCCUAAGUUCAUUUAUUUACGAUCAUGAACAAUUUCUCUUGAGUUUGCUGAUUUAUGAUCACAACUCCAAACAACUCACUAAUUUACGAUCAUAGCUGAUAUUAUAAAGGCUUGUUGAUUUAUGAUCACAACCUAAGUUCAUUGAUUUACAAUCAUGAACAAUUUCUCCUGAGUUCGCUGAUUUACGAUUACACCUAAAUUCAUUAAUUUACGAUCAUGAAUAAUCUUUCCUGAGUUAGUGGAUUCACGAUCACAACUUAGGUACGAUGAUUACAAAUCAUAGUUGAGUUGUAUAAUUUAAUGGUUCCUAAUCACCAUUCAAAUUAUAUUUGUUUAAUUCAUUUACGAUGACAAUUUAGUUACAUAAUUUUCUCAAGCAAAAUCACAAUCAAACACCACAAGGUUUCAACACUAAGCAAAGAUAGUUUUUCCAUUUCAAAAUGAAAGACAACAAGUACAAUGAAUAAAAGGAAAUCACAAGUUGACAUUAGUAUCAUUAGGGUCAGUGAACUCUUCUUCUUCUUCUUCUUCCACUUCUUCGUUAGCAUUUCCUUCACAUCCAAUAGUGGGAGUUACGUUGGUUUCUGCAGGAGUAUCAACAAAAUAAAGUCUACUAAAAUUUUUCCACUUUUCAACAAACUCCUCCCAAGCAGUUCCAGAAGGGAAAAAAUUAUCAAAAUUCAACUAAGCACUUGUGAGGUGACUGAAAGCAUCAAAAUUUACCCUACAAGUAUCAAAGGGACUUCUAACCACUUAGGCAUGUAGCAGAAAAGUUGACUUUAAAUGUAGCAGGUAAUCUUAAAAGCUUCACAUUGUGUUAGCCUUAUAUUUUUCCAAGGCUUUUUGAUGGUUCUUUUCCAGAUUAGCCACAGCAAGUUUAUGUUGCUCACUCAUGGCUUUCAUGGUCUCUUCCAAAACAAUCUGAUCAGCUCACAUACCUCCAAAAUCUACAUGUAAUUUUUCAAUAUCUUUUUCAAAAAGAGUGAGGCGAUCAUUUAACUUAUUAUUCUGAUCCAUUAAUUUUCUAUUUUCUUCAUCCAAUUUCCUAUGCAGUUCGCGAGCCCUUUCCAAGGCCCUCAUGGUGGAUUGAUAAAUAUUGUCAAACUUCAUCUUUCUUACCUACUCUUUGCCAAUACCUUCGGCGAGCCCCACACUGAACAUACCAACUUUAGCCAAAGCCACCUGAAGGGAUAAUAUAAGUUCCUUCAAGGAUGGUUUCUUCCCGCAGCUAGAUGAUGUAGAAGGACAAACAUAUUUUUUUUUCUUGAGGCAUAGAUUCUUUCAAUUUUCUACUUACCUCAAUAAGGAAAUAAGGAAACUUCUGCAUACUCAAGUGCUCGCACCAGGGAAAUAAUGUUUGUGUCUCACCACAAGUAGACAUAAACUUUAGUAAACCCUCAAAAGGGUCAUGUUGAACAAUUACACCAAAAUUGUCCUCGGUUGGUGGUCUUGGUGGAGAUAGGGACACAGAAAGAGAAUGUACCACAGGAGGGACUGUAACAAUGGUCGCCACACUACCAAAUGAUGUAGUAUAAUCUUUUCCCUUCUUUUAACGAAGUUCCCUUACAGGGCUACCCUAGUCUUUGUCGCUUAAUAUAACAUUGGCAGCUCCAAUAGUCGGUUUUUUUUGUUUCUUUAAACUACUUUCACUUCCUUCCCCAACAAAAGCUCUAGAAGGAAACCCUAGCAUAUUUUACAUAAAGGAUCGAACGUCCAUGUAUUCAUCGAUCUCCUUGGAUAAACUUGUUGAUUCCCAUGAAUUCUCUUCAAUAAUACGAGUUGUGUUUGCAUCACCAACAAGUCUAUUAUCAGUACCAACAGUAAUCAUAAGGGUGUUCGUGCUACCUUUUGGAUCCUCUACAGGUUUAGAGGACCACGGAUGAGGUUUAAUUUAUAGAAGGUAUAAAAAUAAUUUUUAGGCUCCUCCUUUUUCCCUAAAAGUAUAAGUCCUAACUCAUCAGUAACUCCAUAUGGCCACGCGAAUUGUUGUCAUCAAUUGGCUACCACCCAUCAAGGGUUAGAUCUAUAAGGCAAUGGUAAAACAUAUUUCUCAUAGUUAACACCUCCUCUAACUUCAAUACACGACCUCGACAAAGCCUAUAAAAUUAAGCCCACCCUGGCUCCAAUGGAAUUUCUUAUCUUUGCAGGCACACACUCUUGUUAGGUAUAGACCAUUCAAUUGGAAAAUCAAAACUAGCUUCAAAUUUAUUAUUUACCCGUAUGUAUUUACAAAAAAUUAGUCAAAAUUUCGAAGACCAAUUAGAAAUAAUUGAUUCCAAUCCCUCACGAUGAGUAAAAUAAAAUAAGCCCCGAGAACCUCCUCGAUUAUAGGCUUUGAGUCGGUAUAAAUUAUGAAAAACAGAAAUCAACAGUGCCUCUUCUCUUCAACCACAUUCAAUGAAAUAGGCCACUGUGACCCACCAUGAAAAGUCGGAUAGCUACCCCGAAGCUAUUUCAUACUCGUCAAGAAGAUGAUAGGAGAAAGGGCGGAAUGGAAUAUGAAAACCUACUUCCAGUAUGUGUAAGGGAAGUGAGAAACUUCCAUUGGUGGUGUUACUUAAUCGCCUCGACCCUUCAACAAUUGAGAAGUCAUAAGCAAAAUUUGGUAGCUAGAUCCCUCAAGUGACCCAAUAACGACUCAUUUCAUCAAGCUUAGUGGUGCAAGCGUACACUUUUGCCUUUAUGAGAGCAUUUACUUAAUGACAUUGUGAAGGCUCAUUUCCUAAACCACCGUGGUUACCCUGACCACUACAACCACUUCCUCUCAACCUAGCCAUCGUACCAAACUAAACCUAGAAUAACUACAAAGACAAUUUGGAAAUUUAAAGAAAUUUACCUCUGAAACAUGAUUAUCCUCCUCAACAGUAGCUCAUUCUCAAAAAUUUCAAAUCCAAAUAAUUCAAUAUUUAGGGUUAAUGUCACAUCUUUUUAAAGAAUUUCAAACCCUAAUGAUUCGUGUGUUUGAGAAUGAAGGCAUAGCUUCAUAUAGUUGUACCUCUCCUUAACAUGUGGUGAAGCAUUUAUAACAAAUUUGAGUGAAAAGCAUAUAUGAGAAGUUUCUUCCUCAGAAAUCCCCACCUCGUGUAGCCAAGUUCUUAGAAGAGUCACUUUAUAAUUCUUUUUUGAGCUAGAUGAGGAACAAAUUGUUAUGGAGUUUGCCAUUAUCAACCCGCAAUCUGGGUACCCAAUUGAAACCAACUCGAUCAGUUGUGAUAGCCUGCAUAGUUUGCUAGCAUGAGUUCAUACGUAGGGUGUUCGCAUCUCGCUUGAUAAGUUCGCAUCAUCAUGCAAGCGAACUCAUAUUUAGGGAACACGUGUUAAUCCUAGAGUAGGGUACGUGUUUGUCAUAGCUGGAGAUUAGGACCAAAAGUUUUGGUAGUGCGAUGUAAAGGUUCGCCAGUAUUCUGGUGAACUGGAAUUGCCAAAAGUUUAGUGAACUGGGGGUUCACAAAGAUUCAAGUGAACUGGGUGUUCGCUGUAACAACCCUAUAGUCAGGGGUAUCGAAAAGUGCAUUCUCGGGACUCCGUUCCAUAAAUCAAAUUCGUAAAUAUUUAUUAUAAAUAUUUACCAAGCUAGUUGUGUAGUUAAUUAGGUUCCGAUUAAGUGAAAUUGCAUGAAUUAAGAGUUAUUAUAGUAUAAGGACUAAAUCGCGUAUAAGAUAAUUUUUUAAUUAUAGAUAGAAAUCAAUUGAGGGAUUAAAGUAGUAAUUUAACAAUUUCUUAAUAUGGUGGACAGCAUAUGUUAUAUAUAUAUGUUAUAAUAUUAAGUAAUUUUAAAAGAAACUAUAUAUAUAUGUAUUAUAUAAUAAUGAUCAUAAUUAUAUAAUAAUAAUUAAAGUAUAAUAAAAUGAGAUAACAAGAGAAAGUGGAUGUAUGCAAUUAAAAAGAAAGAGAGAAAAAAAAUAAGAGAGAAAAGGGAGAAGAAGUUGCGGCAACCUAAGGGUUUUAAGGUUCAAAAUAAAAAAUGGUUAGUCAAUUUAGUCUAUUUUCUUGUAAUUUUUAUAUUUUUGGAAUCCCGAUGUUAAGUACUACCCAACCUAUGUUGAAAUUUUAGAAAUUAUUAAGAUUUUAAAUGUUAAAGUUGAAUAGUUUUAGUAUUAGGGAUUAAAUUGAUAGAUUUUUAAGCUAGAAAUGAAAAUGGUUAAAUUGUAGAACAAAUUGUAAAUUUUGAGUAAUAGGGACUAAAUUGUGCAAAAAUUUGAAAUUUUUGUGAAAAUUUUGAAAUUUAGGUGUUUAAUUGAAAUAGGGAGUUAAAUUUAGCUUAAAGUGAAUUUAGUAUAAAAAUAUAGGAUUAAAUGUGAAGAAUAAAAAUUAGAAUCGGUUUAAGAACUAAAUUGGAAUUUAGACAAAUAUUGAGUAAAAUUUGAAAUAGUCAAUAUGAAAUCAAAUUGUGUUGUAUUGAUUUAUAUUAAUUGUUUUAGUUCCGUAGCUAACGUCAUGUCAGAAUCCUCGACUAAAAAGGGGAAGGAUAAAAUCGACGUCAAAUAGCUCGGAAUCCAUGGUUUGUAUUUCUAUAAUCCGAACCUAGUUAUUAAUUGUUGUAUUUUGAUUUAAUGCAUAUGGUAAGUGGUUGAGGUGAGUAUUUUGACAUUUUGAUAUUGAAUUGAAAUUAUAGUUGAUUGAAAUGGAUUGAAUUGGUAUAUAUAUUAUGAAUGUAUUGAUUAUUUGAAUUGAAAUGAAUAUAUGUGUAAAUGUGAUAAUGUGAAAAUAUGAUAAUUGGAUAUUGGUUGUAUUUGGAAAGUGAAUUGGAACCCUAUUAACUGUAUUAGGCUAAGUCAGAUAUAGAUGGCAUGCCACAAGAUAGGAAGAGUUUAGGGAUUUCUUCGACUUCGAGUCAAUAAGGCACUGGGUUCCAAUUUACUUCAGUUUAACCGAUGAGACACCGGGUUUCAAUUUAUAUAGCUCUGGGCACAAUUAUUACGUUGGAUUUAUCCGAUGAGGCACUGGGUGCCAAACUGGUGUGUUGGUUGGAUCCGUGUAUCAGUCCGAGUCCGAGUCGUGUUAAUAGGGGUAAUCAAAUAAUAAAGUUCUGUAAUCGAUAUUGAAUGAUAUUGUGUGUGAAUUGAAAAUGAGAUAUGUUGUGAUUAAAUGAGAUACAUGAGUUAUGUACUCAUGACUUGAAUAUUGAAUGGAUAAUGCCAUUGUAUAAACAAAUGUGGUUUGAUAUGUGAAAAGUUAUUUAUAUAGCAAGUGUGUGAAUUAGGACAUUUGUUAAACAAAUGAAAUAUGACAGCAUGUGUAAAUUGAAUAUAGUAUAAAAUUAUAUGCUAUUAUAUAUGAAUUCAAAAGGUUGGCAUAUGGUACUUGUGAUUUUAGACAUUAAUAUGUGUUUAUAAUUCAAUUGUGCAUUUUGUGUUCUCUUGUCUUUAAAUGUUUGAAUUAUAGAAAUAUCACUGAGUUUUACUCAGCGUACAGUUUUGUUUUUCCCGUACGCAAGUUAGGUACUUCUAUUUUGAUCACUGAUUCAGCAUCCAGCAAAGAUCUCAAUCUCAAAUAUAGUGAUGUUUAUCUUUUUGUGUUGGCAUGUACCUAUGAUGUCUAGUUGAUAUUUAUUUUGUGGAUGGAUUGUAAAUGAAGUUAUAAAUGUAUGUUUGUGUUUGAAACCAUAAUUUGUCAUGUUGUUUUGAACCAAUGCUUGUUAUAUGUAUAAACUAGGCCAAAUUGAUGGAUUUUGGCAUGUUUAAAAUUUUGAUUUGAAUAAUGCUUUUAUGAUAUGUUUUGAUGAUAUAAAUAUGGUACCAAUGAGGGUACAUUGGUUAGGCACCUAGGAUGAUUGUUUUGGCAUGUUGUGAGUGUGUUUGAUCGUGUUUUGAAUAGAUUAAACGAAUGGUUUUUUUAGUUUCUUAAUGCCCAAGGAAGUAGGAAAUGGUAAACUUGUGGUUUAAGGUACAUUUUAGGUCCACAUGUCCAAACACAUGGGCGUGUGACUUGGUCGUAUGAGACACACGGCUAACAUACGGGCAUGCAAGGCCAUUUAGAGGGUUACACGGCCUGGCACACGGGCAUGUUGCUUGGCUGUGUGACCCAAGUCAGUGAGUUACACUGGCAAGGAUACGAGCUGGGACACGGGCAUAUGUCCCUACUUCGAAUGCCCACACGGCCAGACACACAGGCAUGUGACUUGGCUGUGUGACCCCUGCAGUUGAAUUUUUCCAACUUUUUUCCUAAAUUCUUCAAAUGUUUCCAAUUUAGUCUCAAAUCAUUUCUAAAGUGAUUUUUAGGCAUCGAAGGCUUGAAUAAGGGACGUUAUGCAUGUUAAUGAUGAAUUAUAUUGUAACACCCCAAACCCGGCCUAGACGUUAUGGCCGAAUCUGGCGUGUCACAUUGAAGUGUUUUAGCGAAAGCCGUGUUUUCAUUGAAAACCCUUCUUAAACAAAAGAAACCUUAAUUAACUUAAAAAUAAACACACCUUUCAGUUGCAAAAGCCUUGUUUAAAACAUUUGAUUUAAGAAAACUUUAUCAUUUAAAAAUUAAGUUGCGGAAACGUAGAAAACAUACUAUAAUUUAGGAAUCCCAUGUUCAACUUCUCGUAAUUACAAUGAAAAUAAUAAUAAUCCAAAUAAUAAUAAGAAGGAAGCCCUAUUACAUUCCGGUCCGAAAAAUACUUAAUAAAAUAAAGAACUUAUAUGCUUUUAAAAGAGAAACAAGUCCAAGUUGUCUUGCUAGCUGGCCACCCAGAGUCCCUCCAAACAUCGAACCUUCUACUGAGCAUCACCUGAAAAAAAAAUAAAAGAAGGGGUGAGUUUUCGCAAACUCAGUGUGUACAACCCUUGACGGAAAAACAAGCAUUCAAAAAAAACAUCAUUCAUCAAUCAUGCAAUGCAAUCCCAUCCAAAUUAUCCAUCCGCUACACACUAGCUCCGUCCCCCAUCACACCAUGUAGGGAUAUAAAUAUCGCCCACCCGGCCCACACACCAUGGUAGCCCGGUUGCGGAACUACCUUUAUUUACAUAUUGGGCUUUAAAAGCCGUCGGUGAAUCCACAAUUGUCAAGCAACCAUGCGAUCCUCAUAUACUUCCUCCAUUCCAUAGUUCCCACCCAUAUGCAACCUAAACAGAAUAUCAUAUGUAUGCAUGUCACAUCCAUAAAACUUACAUUCUACACCUAGGUGUAUUUUGGUCAUUUUCGCCCUUAAGGGUACUUUGAGAAUUUUCUCAUAAUUAUGGUUUUGACUUACCUUAGCCCGUUAACGAGUCCCGUGAGCUAAGAUGAACGAACACUAUGCACCAGGUAGGAUUCCAGAGAAGAGGAGGUGAGUCAUUAAGACCGCUUAAGUACCAAGCUCUCCCUAGAUCCAAUCCUAAACAUGCAUAUACCCGUUGCCACACCUUAACCCUUUGACUUGUCCACGGUCGCAAUAUAUUAAUUAAGUCUUAUGUGGAUACCAUAUACUAGGCCUAAAACCCCUUACAAAGCCCAAACAAUUUCACAUACCUGUAUCUGGCCCAUUAAGCCCAAUCAUAUUCAUAUGGCCCAUUAGGCCCAAAUCACCUGUAUAUGGCCCAUUAGGCCCAAAUCAGAUUUAUACGGCCCGUUAGGCCCAGUCACAUUCAUAAUCACGCUCACAUACAAGUUCCUAUCACAUAGCAUCAACAUUUAGUUUUUUUCCUAUUAUGGGUCCAAUUGCCCAUCGGGCCCAUUUAGCCCAUUCCGGCCCAUAUGGACAAAUCACAACCCAAGUCCACGGAAUCACCCGUGGGCCUCAGGCAACCUAUCAGUCUCCCCCUUACGAGUGUUCGCACACUCGCAAGACUACCGUAGCCAAACUUUCGACAUUUCGGCUUUUCGGUUUUUCGGCAUUUCAGCUUUUGCCGAUACAUAUUGUGUGUGCAGUGUAUUCACCUGGUAAGCAAGCGUGAUGCGAUCUCCUUAGCCCAAACCUAAAAUCAAUAUCACUCAAAGAUUAAUCAUACAUACUUAUUGAAUACUUUACCAAAAGCUAGAAUCUCACAUUAACCUUACCUUGCGCGAUAAGUAUAACAACCCCUUCACUAACCACGAUCAACUCCUAGAUCUGCACCAAUCAUAACUAUUAAAACCAGAAUAAUAGGUGACUCGUAUCCAACACAAGUCCCCUUACCUUACUGUGGCUAUUUGGCCAACCUUAGCCAAUGGAUAAGGAAUACUUACCAAGACUGUAAACACCUUAAGAGCAAUUCGGCAGAGAGCUAAGAUCUGAGAUUCGAUACUAAUUCCACUAGAUUCUGUCAAAGAGUAUUCAGCCCUUGAGAGAUUCGGCUUUUCAGCUUUUCAAACUUAGUAUGGUGAAUAAGGUUUAUUUGAUACAGAUUAAAGAAGAAGAGUAGAAGAAGAAAUUGGCUAAGUGAAACAAAGAAAAUUGUGUAGAGAAGAAUAGCAAUCGGCAGGAAGAAAUGAAAGAAAAACAAAAGGGUUUUUGGCUUUUUCGAUCUUGAAAAGAAAAAGGUUUUUGGCUUUUGGAGAAAGGGGUUUCUGGCAACAAGGUGAAGAAGAACUUCGACAGUAGCCUGGCAACCGUGUAUUCAGCCCCUAUUUGUAACCUUCAUAGCUGAAUUUUCUAUGCCCAAUUCCCAAUUCGGCUGCAUCACUUCUCCCUUCUCAUCUCCUCAUUUUUCUCCCUGAUAACCCCUUGAUCUUUUUCUUAAUUUUCUCUUCUGAACACUCUCCUUGGAGUCCAUCUUCACGCCACUUUCAUCCUUCUAGAAGGCCAAAAUUAAACUUCUAAAAAUACUAAGCUAAGAUUCGAACAUUGGAUCUCCUUGCUAGCUACUAACGCCACCUCCUUACUCCCUAAGUGGCGUCACUUAGCCACUCAUCCACAAGGCUUUUUGAUGCUAUUUUUCCCCUAUUUUUAUUUAAAAGUCCAACUACUUGCCAACCUUGAUUCUUUUAAUAAUUAAACUAUAAUUUCAUUUAUUCCCAGGUUCGAACUCAAACCUUAAUUAAGACCUACUAUAAUUAUCACAUGGCUAAGAACAUAAAACAACAUAAAACACAAUUUUUAUCAAAACUGAAAACAAAGAAAGUUCGAGAUUUCGAGAUUUUUGGGUUUCGAGAUUUUUGGGCCGUUACAUAUAUUAUGAUUUUUGAAUUGUUUUGAAAUAAAUGAUUUAGAUUAUGGUUACUUGGUAAUGCUCCGAAUCCCUAUUCUGGUGAUGGAUACUAGUUAGGGGUGUUAUAUUCACUAAGAGAUGUUUCAGUAAAGGGUGUUCCCCAGCAGCAAUGUACGCCAAAUGAAGUGGAAAGGUGUUCGCCAAUUUCACUACGAUGUAGGUUCGCUAAUGUAUUGGCGAGCUGGGUUUUACCAGUCUAUUUGAUGAAAUGGGGUUCGCUAGUCAGUUUGGUGAACGAGGGUUCGCUAGUUUUGUUGUGAAGUAGGGCUCGCUAGUCAAAGAUACAGUCAGACUUGAAUUAGAAAAUAAAGAUUUAGUGUAUCUAGGAAUACUUUACGUGCAGGUAACAACUUUCCUAAUUCAGUUAGGGUAUCCAAAGAAAUCUAGGACUACUAGGUCUAUAAAUACGACCCUUAAUUCUGUGAAAUUCUUCACUGAAUAUUUUAUCGUCAAAGUCUCUAUUCUAGAUUAUGUUCGUAGCAAUUCGAUUAAGUCCUUGUCCUGUUAGAGUUGAUCGUAUCAAAAGCUAGGUUCCCUUGCAUGUGUGAAAUCUGUAUGCUUUGUUAGUAAUCUAUUUGUUUGUUGUGAACCAAUCGAACCAUCUUUUAGCAAUGAAAAAGGCAAAGCCAAACUCGUUUGGAUUUCUUUAUCUUCGUUGAGUGAUCAGAUCUAAUAUGAGUAUGUCAACUGCCAUGAUUUCAGGUUAAUGGUAUUAUUUUCUAAAGAAUUCCAUUUUCGAAACCAAGUUUCAAAGAAAGUGUUUUUAAUACUCUGUUUUAGGAUACGAUAACAGUAUUGUGCAAGCUCCUAAGAGAGCCAAUGUUUUUAAAGAAUUUUUUAAGAAAUGAUUUUAAUAAGUUGUGUAUCUGUCAAGCUACCUAUAUGAGCUUCGUGCGAUAAGAAGUUGUGUAUCAAUCUAGCUUUAUGAGCUUUCUACGUGCUCCCUCACGAGCAUAAGCUUUCUAUAUGUCUCCUUUUGUAUGCUCUGUUGUGAGCUAGGUUGGGUAUAAACAUAUCCAACGAAACAAAAUGCUACUCCUCAGUGAGUUUAGCUCUAGAUAUGAGCUUUCAUAGACCAGUCCCAUUCUACAUGCUUCGUGAGAGCUAGGUUGGAUAUAAACAUAUUCAACGAGACAAAGCCUUCUGCAAACUGAACCAAUCCUGUGACCUAAGGUGAGCUUUAUUCGUGUUUAAGUUUGAUGAACCAGUCUUGUAAAUUAAGGCAAACUCUGUUAGUAAGUGUGAACCGGUCCUACAAUCUAAGGCAGACCCUGUUCAAAGAAAAGGUUUUCUGAAAAGUGUGAGCUGGCUUCGUGAUUUUAUGGUGAACCCAGACUCGAUUUUUAAAGGUUUUUGAUAAACGGAAUAGGCCACAUGAUUUUAAGGUGAUCCCUACCAAGUAUGUUUUAAGAAAAUGCUAAUGAGUUUUCAAAACUAUUUUCUAAAGUCAUGUUUUCUGACAUGAUAUACGAAUUGGGUCUCACAACCUCACCCGGAAACGCAUCACACAAAACUUUUUUCAAUAAUUUUUCUAUUAUUUUCAAACAUUGUUUUUAAACAUAACCUAAUGGUUUCUGAUUAUUCACUGAUUUCUUAAUGAACUCACCCACUGCUCUCUUACUUCUCAGGUAAGUAGGCCGAGGAUAGCGUUGGCGAGGUCGAUGAUCCACUGAGGCACCUGACUGAUAUAAGUGAACCAUACAAAAGGGCAGUGAGUUUUUAUUAUACGGAUUAGAACAAUAAAUUAUAUCAUUAAUUUGAUUACUGAACAAUUUUCUUAAGCUUAAAGUAUAAAAUGCUAUGUUUUUAAGAUUGAUUUUACUAUUCCUGCGAACCAUGACUUGGAAUAUAUUAUCUAUUUCUGUUAAUAAUAAAUCAAUGUUAUUCAUUCAUGAGUACUUUAUUGUUUGGCUGAGUAUCAUGAUUUGAUAUCCAUGUAUGUUGCAUAAAUUACUUGCGUACCAUUGUAGUGUUAGUAUAUUUACAUACGAACCACUGAUUACUACGAAUCAUAUUUACAAACGUACCCCUGUUGUGAUAGUUUUAUUACAUACGAGACCUUAGGUACCAUAUUUACAUGUGUACCCUUAGCUUUGUGAACCCUUAUGUGUAUGCAAACCCAUGAUUUCAUGCGAACCCUAUUAAAGUAUUACAUUCCUUGCAUGCAUUUUUUUUACGAAGCCUGAUGUUUAGUGAAACUAUGAUGUAUAAGCAUUAUAGGCAUUAGGCGAAUUGUUAAUGUUUUGUGAGCUUACACAUUUGUAUGUAAACUGUUUUGCUUUGCGAACUCAGGUUUUCAUGUGAACCUAUGUUGAGUUACGAACUCAUGUUUAUGUUUUUAAUAAGGUAUGUGAUCUAUGUUUGAAUGUUAUGCGAGUGCUUAAGUGUAAUGCAAACCUGUAAGUGUUUUUAAGUAUAUGAAAUUUUUGUUUCGCAUUAUUAUGUACUCUAAUCUAUCUUGCAUGCGAACCUUUGUGUUUUAUGAAUGCAUGAUUUUUGUUUCUUUGUUAAGUUUAAACACCUUAUUCGCAUGCUAUCUAUAAGUGGUGUGCUAGAAGUUAGGUUGGGAGCUAACGGAGAGUCACUUCGGUGGCUAAUGUGGCACACUAGGUUCGAGUCAAAUCUUCUCAAUUAGGUUCGAGGUGUUACAGUAUUAGCUUGCAUAGGGGCCUACCUUGGAUGUCACAUCCAUGAACCGUAUCAUAUAAAUAAGGAAACGAGCCUCUUUGGAAAAGAGACACACAAAAAUUCUCAAAGAUGAAAACUACUUAAUAAUAGUUUUUUUAACAUAAAAAAACUUAGAAAUUUUUAAUUUAUGUCAAAGUUGACAUGCAUGGUAUAAAAAAGAAAAAAAUAUAUGAUUAUUAAAUUGUUAAAAUAUUAAUCGUGAUGUAAAUAAAUCACUCUCUUUUAUUUUAAAUAUUUAUAUAUAUAUUGACAUGGUUAUUAGUAAUAAUCAUUUGGGCUAAUCUUUCCAUAUUACAAAUUACAUUGUCCAAUAUCCAACUUGAUUGGAUAAACAAAUGUAACAAAUUUUCAAUUAUCAUAGUUGGAGAUUAAGCACAAGCUUCUGUUUCAGUUAAAAGGAUUGGUGAAAAAAAAAGCAGUAAAGGAUAGUUUUUCUUAUUAGACCCCAGGUAAUUUGUACCAAAAUAUCUAGAUUAACAGAAAAUUUUCCCUAUUAAACCCCAUGUGACUAAACACUUAUAUAAAUGAUAAUUCAAUGCUUGAAGAUGUCACAAAGACUAAGAUUGAUAAAUUAAUAAUAGUUAAAAACAAACAAAAGGAGCAUCCUCAAUCCCACAUUUAAUUAUCUAAUUUUGGUUCAAUCAUAAUACAUAAGCUAAAUUAUAAUAAGUUUAGAUUGGGUUUCUCUGAUAGUUUCUAUGUUGAUCUCGUUAGUUUAUUUGGAGGGUUUGGCACUUUGGAGGUCGGGUGAGUUGGUGGUCUCGGUGACUAAUUCCAAUAAAAAUUUCAUCCACGCCAACACCCAGUGACUUAUAAAAUCUGAUUGGUAGUGUUCCUUUGUGUAUGUAUGCCCGUAGAAAAAUAAUAGAAAUUGGUCAUGAAUAAUAUUGCCGAGCUAAAUUUUGAUAUAAGAAAACCGUAGAUCAGAUUGGGUGACUUUAUUGCUAUUAAAAACCAAGGAGAAAAAAGAGGUGGCAGACCCAUGGAUCUCAAUGCUUGUCGAGACUUUGGAGAAUGGUUAGAAGAGUGUGAGUUCAUCAAGCUUAAUGUGAGCGAAGGUGGUUUUACUUGGUCUAAUAACAAAGUCAACAAUGAUUGCAUCCAAGAAAAAUUGGAUUGUCGGUUUUUCAACAUAUCUUAGGGUGAAUACUUAUUGAAGUGCUAAUGGUCUAAUUUAAGUGGCUAUGGAAUUAGAUCAUGCCCCGUUUAUCCUUUAUCUCCAAAAGACUAGAAGGAUAAGGUGGAGUUUCAAGUUUGAAUCAAAAUGUUUGGUGGUGUAAUGAUUUGAUUUUUGGUAGUGUUGAAAAAUAAGAUUUCGGAACCUCAUUUCUGUAAAUCAAGCCCGUAAAGAUAAAAUAGGAUGAUAUACAGAGUUAUUAUGAAAAUAUAUUAAGGAUUAGUUAAGUAAUUUUGUAACACCCCUCGCCCGUAUUCGACACUGGGACAGGGUUCGAGGUGAAAUCGAACUUAAACUCAACCAACUAUAUAAAAUCGGGCCGUAAAAUUUUGAUCAAUUUAAAACUUUUCAUUUCACAUACAUUUUGUCCCUUAAACGGGCUCACAAGGCCCAAAACAUGCAUUAGAGACGGUUCGAGACUAAACUUAGAACUUAAGAAAAACUUAGAAAAUUUUCAUGCUUUAAGGCUCCACACGCCCAUGUGCUAGGGCCACGCCUGUGUCCCGAACCCGUGUCCAAAAACUUGGACACUCUGCCAAUUUGACUAUAAACAAAUUGAAGCCGCACGGCCAAGGCAUACGCUUGUGUCCUAUGGCCAUGUCCUUCACACGGUUGAGACACAUGGCCGUGUCUCUUGCCCGUGUGCUUACUACUAUGCAUACUGACUUGAAAAACUUAGGUGCAGGGGACACACGGCUGGACAACACGCCCAUGGGGGUGGACCGUGUGUCACGCACAGCCUAGACACACGCCUGUGUGUCUACCCGUGUGGACAAAUACAAGGCUAUUUUUCAAGCCAUUUUGUCCCCCUCACAACACAUGCACGCAUACUUAUACAAUAGCAUACAACAUGGAAAAAUUAGACACUUAAACAUUUCUAACAUGUCAUGAUCAUGGCAAUUUCACAUGCAAUAGAUAUCAUAGAUUUUACUCACAUCUUUACCACAUUCAUGCCAUAAUCAUUAUAAACUCAUCAUGUAAGUCCAUAGCACAUGCAUGCAUCUUUAAAAUGGGUUUACAACCCCAUAAUCAAAAUAAGCCAAUACAUUUGGCUAAAAUAAUAUCACAUACUCGAAUAUUUAAACUUCUAUACAUGUCAUAGACUCAAAGUACUUGAAAUCACUUACACCAAUAGCGAUAGCUUGACAGUGUGAUAAUAUCCCUGAUGAACUCCAACCCGAGCAAACCUGGCAACCCUUGAGAACAUGGGAAAGGAAAGGGGAAAGCUUUACGCUUAGUAAGUUUAUAUGAAAAUAAUAAGCAACUCAUUAACAUGUUUUAUCCAAGUUCUCAACAUAUUCUCAAGUCAUGAUAAGCUGUCUUCUUGUACAAUAGUCAAUGAAAUAUUUACAACUGGAGAUACAAAACUCUAAAUUAAGUUUUGUUAAUUUUAAUUUAAACUAGACUCAUGUACCUUUCUACCAUAAAAUUUCCAGAAUUUUUGGUUUAGCCAAAUAGCACAGUUUAUUCCUCAAAGUUACCCCUAAUUCACUGUCUGAUAGUUUCGACCCUUUUGUACUAAAGUUCAAUUAUCCCAUAGCACAGGACUCGAAUAAUGUUCUUGUCUAUUUUUCUUGAAAAUAGAUUCAUUAAGGAUUCUAAAAAUAUAAAUUAUAACUCAUAAAUAGUUUUUUACAAUUUAUAAUGAUUUUCUCAAAUUAGAACAGGGGAUUUCGAAGUCAUUCUGACUCUGAAUCACACAACUUCAAAUAUCUCAUUCUCGGAAAUUCUUUUGCUUACAUGGUUUAUUUUAUAAGAAACUAGACUCAAUAAUAUUUAAUUAAAUAUUUUAUUCAGCCUCUAACUCAUUUUACACUAUUUUUAGUGUAUUUUCAAAGUCAGACUAUGGCUGCUGUCCAAAACUAUUUUAGUGUAAACUAACGAUGCUAAGUUUAUCACACCAUAUUAAUUCAUUUCCACCACAUUGGUAAGGUUACAUAUUCAUACAUCAUACGUAUAGACCUAUAAUCACAAGGUCAUCACAAAAUCAUUCUCAUAGGCAUGAAUUACCUAUUUACAUCAUCAUCAAAUGUGCAUCAUAAACUGAAAUCAUUUCUCAUAAGCUUGGCAUACAUACCUAGGUUACUCAACAUGCUCAUAUUCAUUCCUUACUAAUCAUAUAACAUGAAUUGAAUUCACAUCUCAUCAAUUUCAUGUUAGUACCUGUACUACUCAUAAUAUGGUCAUAACCUUUCUCAUUUAACUUAAACCGUAACUCUCACCGUUGAACCAUUCGAAAAGUUACCGGAUAUUCACUGAGCCUCAAACAUAGGGAUAAUGCCGAUGUCAUGUCCCAGAAAUGGUCUUACACUUCCUCUCACAUAUCUGUGCUGAUGCAUGUCCCAGACAUGUCUUACACUAGAACAUCUCGUAGCCGAUGCAUGUCCCAGACAUGUCUUACACUAGCUUACAUAUCGAGGCCGAUGCAUGUCCCAAACAUGUCUUACACUAGCUCUCGUCUCAAUGCCGAUGUCAUGUCCCAGACAUGGUCUUACAAUGGCUCUCAUAAUGUGGCCGAUGCAUGUCCUAGACAUGUCUUACACUAGCACACACACAUCACCCAAUGUCAUGGCAUGAAUAUUCGUUUAUUCCUAAGGUUCAAUCGGGAGGUUCCUCUACAUCAAUUCUCAUCAUACAUAAUCAUUUCCACAAUCAAGCAAUUUAUGCUAUAUCAAUUCAAAUACGUGUAAUAACGAUGUAGUUAUAUUAUUUACAUACGACUUACUCGUUUCUAUGGGAUAUCAUAUUCCAUUGAAUUUCUAAUGUCUUCUACCAUCACGUGAAUGUUAUUAACUUUUGGCAUCACUUUCAUCAUACUCAAUAUCAUCAACAUAUAAUUCAAUAUAACCGAAGCAAGAUAGAUUCAAGUAUAUUAACAAUAACAUGGAUAACAUGCUUAUUUACUUAUAUGAACUUACCUCGACACCAAAUUGGUAAAAGAGGCCUAAACAUCAAUUUCUCGUUUUUCCUCAUUCUAAGCCCGAAUCUCGGUUUUCAUCAUUAGCAUGGGAGUUUCUUUGCUGAAAUUUUCCAACUUCUAAACCCUUUUCUUGACUGGAAAAAUCAGUGGAGAGAAGAUGAAGAAAAGAUGAUAUUUUCUUUUCUUUAUUUUAUUACUUAUUUGUCAAAUAAGUCACCCAGCACUUACCUAACAUAUUUGACCAUUUAAUUCCUUGUCUCAUGGCGGGCCAUCACUCUUUCAAUGGCCUAAUUUCACAUUAAAAACCCCCAAUUUAAGAUACAAGGCAAUUUAACACUUUUAGGUAUUAAAACACUUUUACUUUUUACGCGAUUUAGUCCUUUUUUGAAAUUGGACUAGAAAUCGCUAAAAUUAAUAUACCAAAAUUAACAUGCACUUAUAAAAUCACAUUAUAGCACAUAAAAUAACAUCAAAAUAAUUUCAUCCGGCCUCGGAAUAGUGGUUCUGAAACCACUGUUCUGACUAGGCUCAAAAUUGAGCUGUUACAAAUUUAACUAAGAAAAUUCAUUAAUUAAAGCUUAAUGACUAAAUUGUGAAUUUUCAAUCGCUAUUAAAUCUUAAUUUAGAAAAUGCUUAAAGAUCUAAUUAGCAAUUUUCCAAAGGGUAUAAAUGGUUAUUAAAUCAUUAUUCCUUGUAUUGUUUGUGGAGAAUGAUGAUGAUUCUACUUAUUUUUAAUUUAUAAUUAAAAAUAUAUAAAUGUGUCUUAAUUAACAAACUAAUCAUGCUUAAGUAUAAUAAUUAAACUACUAAUUAGAGUGUAUAUAUAUAUAUGAAAUUUAAGUGGAAAGUUCUUUCCCAUUUACAACUAUCCAUGCCAAAUAAAAGAAAAGAAAAUCUCAAUCUUCUUUAGUCCAUCUAGACACCAAUUAUCUAAGGUAAUUAAGCUAAACCUUUGAAUAUUUUAUAGAUUCUUGAUCAUGGGAGCUUGAUUUAGCUAGCUUAUGUAUCAAUUCCUCUAAUUGUUAAAUAUUUAACAAGUUGUCAUUAAAAUGAAAUUGGUGAUUUUGAGCUUGAUUUGAAGAAAUCAGUAGUAGUAAGCUUAGAUUAUGAUAAGGGACAAGUUAGAAAUUAAAUUAAACUUAUUAGAUAACUUUGUGACAUUAGGGACUAAAUUGAAUAAAUCAAAAAUUAUCAUAAAAUUAUUUUAUAAAUAUAAAGUAUAAGGUCCCUAAUAAAACAAUGUGAAAUUGGAUUUUAAUCCGAUGUUAGAUAUGGAAAAAUAUGAGUAUCUUUGUUUUGGGGACUAAAAUGAAUUAAAUGCAAAAUAUGUUGGCUAUGUAUUUUAAUGUGACGGGGGAUGUGAAUUGACAUUUUUUAUAAUUGCAUUACCAAGCAUAGCUAAAGACAAUGUCGAGCCAUCUCGAGAGAUAGGAAAAGCAAAAUUUGUACAUGAGUUUCGAUUUGUACUUUUAUGAUUUGAGUUCAAUACAUAAAUUUGUAGCAGAUGUUUGUUUAUUGUUCUGCAAAGCUGAUCACACCAAUAUUGUAACCGUACAUGAUUGCUUAUCUCUUUUCCAAGAUCCCAUAGGGAAAAUGGUGAAUCGAGACAAAUCUUUCAUUUUUUUUCUCCCCUAACACCUAUUCAGAUUCUAUCAGUUCAACUCAUGGAACUCUCAACAAUGUCAAGAGAUUCCAAGUAUUUAGGAUUGCUUUGCAUUUUGGAAAGGGGAAAAAAAAGGCUCUCACUUUCCUCUAAAAAAUCUCUAUGAAGAUUGGCAGUUGCAAAAGGGAAACUUCUAUCACAAGCAGAGCAUGAAGUUUUUAUCAAAUCAAUGGUGUCGUUAUGCUUAUUUACAUCAUGCAAUGUUUCAAAGUCCCUAUUACUCUUUGUAAUGAACCAAAUGUUAUGAAACAAACUUGCAAAUCAAAAUAAGAAAGGCAGGAUGAGGUUUAGAGAUUUUCGAGCCUUUAAUGCAACAUUUCUUAUGAAAUAAGAUUGGAGAAUUUUACAAGAACCAAAUGCUAGAUGGGACCAAAUACACGAGUAGAGGUAGAAUUUUUUGAAUUCUGUUGAUAAAUUUUAUCCUCUCCCUAGCAUUAUCUUUUUCAGUCAUCCUGAAAAAGAAGGGGGAUGUGGAUGAUGGGAGCUUUACAUGUAGAAACAGAGGUGUGAAUUUAAGGCUAGUAAUGAAGAAUAGAGGAACUGGUAAGUCUCCUUAUCUCCCUCUAUGUUUAGGAAUGAAAGAAAGAAAUAGAAUAAUACUCUCAAAGCUUUUGUAUAAUUUAAAGUUCUGGGUUUCAUACUUAGCUGUCAGGAUGAAGGAAGCUCUGGCGUUUGGUCUAGCUAAGCUAUCAAGGAUAAGAAAAUAAGGUGAGUACCUGCACUAUGCCUUCUAGUUGCUAGAUGUUGUGUGAAAUUGCCAUUCUAAUCGUUGAUCGUAAUAGUAGAUAAUUGUUGAAUGGUUAUCUGGUGUAAUGCAUUGCAUAAAGAUGUUAUUUGUGUUAUGCAUGAUUAUUGUGUGCAUAGGUUCUAUUUACAACAUAAACCUUUGCACGUUUGAUAAUUAAGCUAUUUAACUAAUAAAAUUCAAUAGUGAUUAACUUUUAUGUAUUUUACAAUUUAGUCUUUUUUCCUUAAUUAACUAAUCAAUCACUAAAAUUUUUGGACUAGGACUUAAUAUAACUCUAUAAUAUACUCAUAAAAAUUAUAAAAUAAUAUUUACUGACUUGAUCAUCAAAAUUUGGGGUUCCAGAACCACCAUUCUCAGUACUACUGAAAAACAGGUUAUUAUAACUAUUUUAAAGAACGUGUUUUAUGUACCUCAUUUUAGGAGAAACUUAAUUUCUGGAGCAUGUUUAUUUAAUGACAGUUAUUCUGUGACAUUCAAUAAAGGGAUUAUUAUUCAAAGAAAUUAUUCUUUGUAAAUGACUUGCUAUAUUCUAAACGAUGUGCCAACCAAGUCUGUUUGUAAGACACCUUAUGAAUUACGGCACAGAAAGAAACCCGCUCUAAAUCACUUUAGAAUAUGGGGUUGUCCAGCACACGUUCUGGAUAAGGAUGCAAAGAAGUUAGAUGCAUAGGCAGAAUUGUGCAUGUCAGUGUGGAUAUUCGAAAGGAAUAAAGAGUGGAUUAUUCUACAAUCUGAAAAGAUAAUACAAUUAAAGUUUCUACCCAUGCUACUUUUGUAAUAUCCUGAUUUUGGGCCUAGUCGAAAUAGUGGUUUCGUGACCACAAAAUCCGAGAUACAAAUAAUUAUUUUAUGAUUAUUUUAAGGUCUAUGAUAUGAUUACAUGAUUGUGUGAAAAUUUCGUGAAGAAAUUUUAUGCAUAAAGUGCUUAAAUUGAAAUUAGGGACUAAAUUGAAUAAUUUGCAAAGCUUGCAUUCUAGAAGUUUCUAGCAUGAAAUUGUUUUGAAAUAUUAAUUAGGAGGUCUUAAAUAGAAAUUUUACCAACUUAUAAGUCUAUGGACAAAAAUUGGACAUGGAUGGAAUUUUUGGAAAGUUUAGUAGUAAGAGCAUUUUGGUCAUUUAGGGGUAAAAUGAAUUAAAAUACAAAAUUAAAAGCCAAUUUUGCUCAUCUUCAACCCCAUGGCCGAAUAUAGCAAGGAUAAACCAUGGCUAGGGUUUUUCAAGCUUCCAAGCUCGAUUGUAAGUCCGUUCUAGCCUCGUUUUUAAUGAUUUUUACAUUUUUGGAGUCCCGGCAACUUGAUUUAGCUUAUUCUAGCAAUAAUUUAACCUAGGUUUUAUAUUUGGAAAAAUACCCAUAGGUUAAAUUUGUGUAUUUUGGUGUUUUAUGAUAGAAUAUGAGGUUUUAAAUUAUGUUAGACAACUUGUGCUACUCGGUUUUAAGUGAAAACGAGCAACAGGGCUUAAUCGGUACAAAUACCUAAUAGUCAUAAGUACAUGUUAGAGUGAGAAUUUGAUGUUUCCAUAGAAGGGAAAAAUGAUCAGCAUGUCAUAAAACAUAAGAAAAUAGGCUGAAGUUUAAUUUACGAGCUUUGGGACAAAAGUGUAAAUAUGCAAAAGUUUAGGGGCAAAAACUGUAAUUUUUCCAAAAUAUGAUUUUGGGUCAAUUUGAAUAAUGUGAGUCCUAAUUAGACUAUAUUUUAAAUGAUAGAGCAAGGAAAACUGAAAUUCGGGCUAAAAUGGAAAAAUACCAAGUUGUGGACGAAAUGGUAAAAGUAGCCAUUUUCGCAUACGAGGUAAGUUCAUAUGUAAAUGUUGGUAACAUAGUUAUUAUUUUAAAUGUUUUUAUGUUAUUUAAAUGAUAUGAUAAUUAUUAUGAAAUAUUAUACUCGUGAUAAUUGUUUGAUAAUAUGUCAAAUUGUGUGGUAUACUUGGAAAAUGUGAAAUACUACCGAGUAUCGGUAUCGGCAUUCCGUAGAAGAUGGUUGAGACACAUGAUUGGGAAAAAGGUCCCGUUGAACCUUAGGAAUGGAUUAGGAUACAAGUGACAUGUCACUAGGAUAUUUAGACAUCCGAACUCGUUGAGUUGAGUCCGAGUUCACUUAUGGAUGCGAAUGUCCGAACUCGUUGAGUUGAGUCCGAGUUUGAGAGAUGUAACUAGGCAUCCGAGCUCGUUGAGUUGAGUCCGAGUUCACUUGUGGACGCGAACGCCCGAGCUCGUUGAGUUGAUUCUGAGUUCGCUUAUGGGCGGGUUACAUGGUAGCUUGGCUACAUAUGUGGCACUUAUGUGCAAACUUUCCAUAUAUCCGAAUUAUAUUCCGAUGUGUUCAACAGGUAAAGUUCUACUCAAAUGGAGGAAUACUAGAGAAGAAAGGGACGUAUUGGUGAGUGUUGUGAAAUGGAUACUUUGAACAGGUAUGUACUUAACCCUCGGGUUGAAAAAUCGAUAUAACAAUAAUAUGGUAAGAUGAUAAAUGAAAAUAUGAUAUGAAUGUCUUGGUGAUGAUUAUGCAAAUGAUGUUUUAUGUUUGCUUAUAUGGUUAUGUUACUUGCUAUUUGCAUGUGAACUUACUAAGCAUUUAUGCUUACUCCAUCCUUUUCAUUCCUUGUAGUUUUGACAAGCCAGCUCGGAAAUCGGGAACGGUCGGAGGUUCGCUCACACUAUCUGUAUACCAUCUUGGCAUAAUGGCUUGUAUAUUUUGAGUAUGGCAUGUAUAGCAUUAUAAUCAUUUUGUAUAUAUGGUCUUAUGAUAUGGUUAUUGAGUGGUAUGGAAAUGCUUGGUAAUGAUUAGCCAUUGGAAUGGCUAAUCAUGAUCAUAUUUGGUGUUAUGUAUGUCAAAUUGCUAGCUAAUCCAUGGAAACUAUGAAAUAGGUAAAAUUUACCAUAAAAUAGAUUCUAACAGCAGCAGUGAUGUAAAUUUGAAAAAUCACUAAAAAUAGUAGAAAUGGAAUUAAAUGAUGAGUAUGUUAUGAAAUUGAAGCCUAAUGAGUCUAUUUUCAUAUAGAUUGAACAAAACAGGUAUAUGAAUUAUAUUUUAUGAGAUAUUUGAAUUUUUGUGAAACAGGGCCAGAGUGAUUUCUAGAUCCCAUAUUCUGACUUUAAAAAUUUAUCAUAAAUUGUAAAAAUAUAAUUAGAAGUCAUUCUUUAUAUUGAGUCUAGUUUUAGGAGAAAUAAACUUCAUGGUCAUUGAAAUUCUGUACAGAGAGAUAUCUGAUUCGUAAUACACAGAGGUCAGAGCAGUCGAACCCUAAAACAGGGGAGACUUUAACUAAUAAACUGUACUAAUUGGCUCGACCAAAAAUUCUAUAAAAAAUUAGUAAAUAUAUAAAUGAUUCUAUUUUCAGGGAAAAUUGACAGAAUUAUAUUUUGAGUUUCGUAACUCGAGAUAUGAAUUUUUAAGCGACUAUGACGCAGAUUGCUAGUUUAACUGGAAAUUUUAAAAAUAAAUUGUUUGAGCUGUUUAAGUAAUUAACUAAGUCUGUUAACACCUCGUGUUCGACUCCAACGAUGGUCUCGGGUACGGGGCAUUACAUUUGGUGGUAUCAGAGCAGGUUUAGUUGGUUCUCGGACUAACUUAGCAUGUGUAAAAGUUUAGCUAUACAUGCCACUGAUCUGUGAUAGUGUGAUGUCUUCCGACGCGUAUAAGUACCAUCUUAUUUAGACAGGGUACUCUCCAACUGAGCUGCGCUGACCAUGUUCAAUGUUAUGCGAAGGUAUUUGAGUAAAGUUAUGAUUAUGAUAAGUCUCGGUUCAGAAAAGUAUGAAUAAAAGUUUAUGAUACAUAUGUGAUAAUAUGUGAGAUGAAAGUUCAUGUUGUGAUAAAUAUACAUAUUUGCUUAAUGCUCAUACGAUGUAGUGUAUGUGGCUUACUUGAUAAGAUGAACGGAAUAAAUAGAAAGUAGUAGAGGUAUGAAUAAAGGUCAAAAUAUCAUGAUACGAAUGAAAAUGUCCUUGUCUUGAUUGGACGUUGAAUGUUGAUGAAUGUUAAUGAUAUACAAUUUUUAUGAGAUAAAGGAUUAUAAUGAAAUGAACUUAUCUAUGUUAAAUUGUUGGACUGAAUUAUAUGAUUGUAAUGAUAUGUACAUGAUGAUGCACAAAAUGAAAGUUGUGAUUGUGAUGCAAAUAUCUAUGUUUGUUUGGCCUUAUAUGAUGUCAUGAGCAUGAAUUAAUUUAAUUAAAUGAAUGGAUAAGUAAAGUUAUCUAGAAAACAUAGAAUGUACGCAUAAGUAUAUUGUCUAAAUGGGACAAUAGGAAAAUUGGUGUAAGCCAACAUGAAUGUUGCAUUGCCUGAAUGAAUGACAUGAUUUUGAUUAUGUUGCUAUGAUGAUGGAAGUUGUGUCAUAUGUGUAUGUAUAAGAAAGUCGAGUCAGAGGUCCUACAACCCCUCCCCCUUACCGAAGUGGUACUUAUAAUAGAAUUUCAUGAGAUUUGUAUUGAAUAAGUUUCCGGUUGAGAACCCAAAGAGUUCAGUGAUAGAAUAAUUAUAAGUAUGACCAGAGAUUGAAAAUGAGCUGAUAAGUAAAGUCAGAGCCAGUAAAGUAUCGGAUUGAUAUAAAGAUUAUUGGAAUUAUGCAUUGUCCCAGUUAGAGAAGGAAUUCUCUUUGGUAAAUCGAAUUACUCAGGUGCAAGGUCGAGAAAAGUGUAAAUCGAAAUUUAUUCAGAACUGGCCUUCUUUAGUGAAUGGUAUAAUAUGAAAUUUGUAAUAGCAGAACUAGUUGGGGAAAUGAUAUUUGAAAUGUGAACUAUCUGAGUGUGAUAGUUAUGACUGGACAGAUUUAGCAGUCUCUUUUGAGAUGUUCUAUGUGUUUACCCGUUCUCAGAAAUAUUUCUAUGGCUAUUGAUCUUCUGAAGAAAUUCUUGUUAUAUGGGAAUGUCUUCUAAUUUUGGUGUUGGAUGAAAGCAUUGGUAGUCUGACUGGUUUAUAAUUUAUAUUGCUCUAUUUCAUCGGGUAUUCUAUUUCAUUUCGUCUGAUAAGAAUUGAUGAGAGAAUACAUAAGAUAUUAUGUUUCUGUUUCUUCUACUUGAUGCUUCAUCUGAUAUAUAUGUAUGGGAAGAUAUAUCGUUCUUGUUAUAUUUGAUUCCAGUGGGAUUAAAUGAUGUUUUCUUUUGGACUUUCUUUCUUUGAAGAAUUAUCGGGGUAUUCUGUAUUUUCUCUGUGAGUUUGGUUUUCGAUUCUCCGGCAUAGUAUCAUAUCUUGGGUUUCUUUAUCCUGGAUCUUUUUAUUCUGGAUUUCUUUAUUCUGGGUUUCUCUAUCUUGGAUUUCUUUAUUCGGUUUUCUUGUUAUCUUUGUUCCAUAAUUUGUCAAUUAAGACUCAUGUUCGAAGUGCGUUCUUCAGCUCGUGAUAAUCAUGUCAAAUAUGACUAUACUUCUAAUUUGAUCUUGGUAAUGUGGUGAUUUUAGUAUUGGGAUUUUUCUAAUUUCUGUGUAAGGAUUUGACAUCAGUAAAGGCAUAAGUGAUAAAAGCGCGAGUUUCAGUCGGUAUGGUGAAUUAUUUAUUUGAAAGAUUUCAUGUGACAAUUAUGUCAGGAUUAUUUUUCUCAAGUCUGAUAAUAGAAUUUCAUUUUGUACAGAUAAAAGAGUAAAUAGUCUGAACGAGAAGUGUAUAUUUAUUAGAAAGAGUUGGAUAUUAGUUAAAGUCACUACGAAUGAUAAGGUUUUCGUCUUGUGAAAGCUGAAAAGUUUAUUACAUGUUGACAGAGUUCGGAUAGAUGAGAAUAUCAGUAACCGAAGCGUCUGAACUAGACUAGUCUACAUUGAGCAAAGACUUCCUGACUUUCAGUAAUGUACUGUUGUAUGAAUUGUGAACUGUUUCAAGACAGUGAGGUAAUGUGAUAGUUUAAAGCAUUCGAUCUUACAUAAAAUCUGAGUUGUUAAAGAGGUUAAAGCCGAGCAUUGGGAUCUAUCAAAAUUAUCCUUGCCAGUGUUGAUAUUGAGAUGGAAAUGAGAAGGAUUAUUCUUCAGGCCAUAUCAGAAUUAUUUCCAUGGCGGAAAGAGGAAAAUGUGAUGUAUCCUAUUGUUAAAUGUUUGGCGAGAUCUAUAAAUCAUAUCGGUAUUGAAUGAAUUCCUACUCAUCAGAUUCACGGAAUUUCAGGUCUUUUUGAUUGUUGAAUUUCUUGGAAUUCUAGUCUCCAUUAACCAAAUUGAGAUCUGGUUUUAUGUCAAGAUGACAAGGGAAACGAAGAAAGGUUGAAAAUUUAAGAACAAUUAAGAGAUGAGUUCGUAAACUUUCAGAAUAUAUGAGAAAUUAAUGAGAUAUAUUGGAGGCACCGCCUGAGUGAAAGUUCUUCAGCACCGAAUAUGAAAUUGAGGAAUCUAAGUGAAGACCACUUUUCUGGUAAGAUUUUCGGGGACGAAAAUCCCUAAAGAGGGGGAGAGUUGUAAUAUCCUAAUUUUGGGCCUAGUCGGAAUAGUGGUUUCGUGACCACAAAAUCCGAGAUACAAAUAAUUAUUUUAUGAUUAUUUUAAGGUCCAUGAUAUGAUUGCAUGAUUGUGUGAAAAUUUCGUGAAGAAAUUUUAUGCAUAAAGUGCUUAAAUUGAAAUUAGGGACUAAAUCGAAUAAUUUGCAAAACUUGCAUUCUAGAAGUUUCUAGUAUGAAAUUGUUUUGAAAUAUUAAUUAGGAGGCCUUAAAUAGAAAUUUUACCAAUUUAUAAGUCUAUGGACAAAAAUUGGACAUGGAUGGAAUUUUUGGAAAGUUUAGUAGUAAGGGCAUUUUGGUCAUUUAGGGGUAAAAUGAAUUAAAAUACAAAAUUAAAAGCCAAUUUUGCUCAUCUUCAACCCCAUGGCCGAAUAUAGCAAGGAGAAACCAUGUAUAGGGUUUUUCAAGCUUCCAAGCUCAAUUUUAAGUCCGUUCUAGCCUCGUUUUUAAUGAUUUUUACAUUUUUGGAGUCCCGGUAACUUGAUUUAGCUUAUUCUAGCAAUAAUUUAACCUAGGUUUUAUAUUUGAAAAAAUACCCAUAGGUGAAAUUUGUGUAUUUUGGUGUUUUAUGAUAGAAUAUGAGGUUUUAAAUUAUGUUAGACAACUUGUGCUACUCGGUUUUAAGUGAAAACGAGCAAAAGGGCUUAAUCGGUACAAAUACCUAAUAGUCAUAAGUACAUGUUAGAGUGAGAAUUUGAUGUUUCCAUAGAAGGGAAAAAUGAUCAGCAUGUCAUAAAACAUAAGAAAAUAGGCUGAAGUUUAAUUUACGAGCUUUGGGGAAAAAGUGUAAAUAUGCAAAAGUUUAGGGGCAAAAACUGUAAUUUUGCCAAAAUAUGAUUUUGGGUCAAUUUGAAUAAUGUGAGUCCUAAUUAGACUAUAUUUUAAAUGAUAGAGCAAGGAAAACUGAAAUUCGGGCUAAAAUGGAAAAAUACCAAGUUGUGGACAAAAUGGUAAAAGUAGCCAUUUUCGCAUACGAGGUAAGUUCAUAUGUAAAUGUUGGUAACAUAGUUAUUAUUUUAAAUGUUUUAUGUUAUUUAAAUGAUAUGAUAAUUAUUAUGAAAUAUUAUACUCGUGAUAAUUGUUUGAUAAUAUGUCAAAUUGUGUGAUAUACUUGGAAAAUGUGAAAUACUACCGAGUAUCGGUAUCGGCAUUCCGUAGAAGAUGGUUGAGACACAUGAUUGGGAAAAAGGUCCCGUUGAACCUUAGGAAUGGAUUAGGAUACAAGUGACAUGUCACUAGGAUAUUUGGGCAUCCGAACUCGUUGAGUUGAGUCCGAGUUCACUUAUGGAUGCAAAUGUCCGAACUCGUUGAGUUGAGUCCGAGUUCAAGAGAUGUAACUAGGCAUCCGAGCUCGUUGAGUUGAGUCCGAGUUCACUUGUGGAUGCGAACGCCCGAGCUCGUUGAGUUGAGUCCGAGUUCGCUUAUGGGCGGGUUACAUGGUAGCUUGGCUACAUAUGUGGCACUUAUGUGCAAACUUUCCAUGUAUCCGAAUUAUAUUCCGAUGUGUUCAACAGGUAAAGUUCUACUCAAAUGGAGGAAUACUAGAGAUGAAAGGGACGUAUUGGUGAGUGUUGUGAAAUGGAUACUUUGAACAGGUAUGUACUUAACCCUCGGGUUGAAAAAUCGAUAUAACAAUAAUAUGGGAAGAUGAUAAAUGAAAAUAUGAUAUGAAUGUCUUGGUGAUGAUUAUGCAAAUGAUGUUUUAUGUUUGCUUAUAUGGUUAUGUUACUUGCUAUUUGCAUGUGAACUUACUAAGCAUUUAUGCUUACUCCAUCCUUUUCAUUCCUUGUAGUUUUUACAAGCCAGCUCGGAAAUCGAGAACGGUCGGAGGUUCGCUCACACUAUCUGUAUACCAUCUUGGCAUAAUGGCUUGUAUAUUUUGAGUAUGGCAUGUAUAGCAUUAUAAUCAUUUUGUAUAUAUGGUCUUAUGAUAUGGUUAUUGAGUGGUAUGGAAAUGCUUGGUAAAGAUUAGUCAUUGGAAUGGCUAAUCAUGAUUAUAGUUGGUGUUAUGUAUGUCAAAUUGCUAGCUAAUCCAUGGAAACCAUGAAAUAGGUAAAAUUUACCAUAAAAUAGAUUCUAACAGUAGCAGUGAUGUAAAUUUAAAAAAUCACUAAAAAUAGUAGAAAUGGAAUUAAAUGAUGAGUAUGUUAUGAAAUUGAAGCUUAAUGAGUCUAUUUUCAUAUGGAUUGAACAAAACAGGUAUAUGAAUUAUAUUUUAUGAGAUAUUUGAAUUUUUGUGAAACAGGGCCAGAGUGAUUUCUGGAUCCCCUGUUCUGACUUUAAAAAUUUAUCAUAAAUUGUACAAAUAUAAUUAGAAUUCAUUCUUUAUAUGUACAGAUUUCUUAUUGAGUCUAGUUUUAAGAGAAAUAAACUUCAUGGUCAUUUAAAUUCUGUACAGAGAGAUAUCUGAUUCGUAAUACACAGAGGUCAGAGCAGUCGAACCCUAAAACAGGGGAGACUUUAACUAAUAAACUGUACUAAUUGGCUUGACCAAAAAUUCUAUAAAAAAAUUAGUAAAUAUAUAAAUGAUUCUAUUUUCAGGGAAAAUUAACAGAAUUAUAUUUUGAGUUUUGUAACUCGAGAUAUGAAUUUUUAAGCGACUGUGACGCAGAUUGCUAGUUUAACUGGAAAUUUUAAAAAUAAAUUGUUUGAGCUGUUUAAGUAAUGAAUUAAGUCUGUUAACACCUCGUGUUCGACUCCGGCGAUGGUCUCGGGUAUGGGGCGUUACAAAUUUCCUUGGAAAAAGCUACUUAGGUAAGUUUAAACCUCGAAGUAAAGUGAUACUCAAGGAACUUUCAAGAGUUGUAGAAAGACUUGCAAACAAGCAAAAGCAUAAGGGAAUUCAUCGUAGUGGGCGUGUUUC
rnacentral:lncRNA from 1 species